rnacentral:lncRNA from 1 species
CUUGGCUUCUGGUGUAAAUAUAUCCAAAAACAAUUCCUAAAUCAUCUGCCACAAGUUUUUAAGCUAACUCUAAAUCAUCCACCUAUUAUUUGGUUCCUUAUAGCCCUAGAAUAGUGCAACAUCUCAUGCUUAUACAAGCUCCUUUAAGUAUGAACAAAAGACAAUCAUCCAAAGCUGCUGCAACGAAGAAUGCCUUUCUAUUGUUAAAAGCAAAAAUGAUGCUUACAUAUCUACUUCUCAAGAGCUCAUGCUACAUGACUGGCAAUCAGUGGAGUAUAUAAUACAUGCACGUGAUAUCUGAUGACUCAAAUCACUUACAAAAUUGAACUCAACGUUUUCUCCUCCAAGAAUUAUGAUCACUUAAGACCAUGUCAUUCUCUAGAGAAAUAUAAUCAUACCCUUAUUAAUUUGCUUUUAUAUUUAUAAAUUUUUUCUUACAGUAGAAAAUAUUGCAUAUCUUAUAUCUAUUGUUUUUGUUUUAUUUUCAAAGAAAACAAUGCAAAGCUUCCAUAUUAGUAAGGUGAAUUUCUUCUUAACCGAAAUGAGUUGUGUACAAGCUUAAGCUAACUAUGUAUCCAUAAGCCUCUCCAAAUUUGAGGAAAAUGGUAACUAAUUCAUAUAUAUACACUGGAAAGAUAUGGGUAAUAAAGAACUUAACCAGUGUUGCAUUUUGGAUGAUGAAUCAUGUCAGUUAGUCAAGAAGGCACAGCAGACUUAAAUGGAGUCAUUUGAUUGAACCAAGUGACAAAUGACAGAGUGAGCAAUGCAAGGGGAAUAAGACAUGUAAACAAGGAAUAAACCAUAUUAAUCUGUGACCUAACGAUGCACUAAUUACAAAUAAAUGGAUGAAGUGGAAGAUCAUAAGCAAAAAAAUUUCAAGCCAGUUACUAGACUCAGAUGUUAAUAACCUAUUGGCAGGAUGAUUGACAUCUUGUCCUUUCGUUUGUCUGCCAACUGAAAUCUUAAUCAAGUUUAGAACCCAAAAAUCAUAACAGAAGGAAACUGUGUCGACUGCAUUAUUUUCUCAGUUUUCUCUCAAAUGAAGGCUAUUAGCAUUACACUUCAGUUCCAAACACUUCUCACAUUUAAAAUAGUAAACAACUUUAAAUUGUUUGUUUUUCCCCCCUCCUUAAUACCUAACACAUUCGAACAACACAAUAUGUCUGUGCCUACCUGCUGCAUAGCUCACCCACUUCGCCAAACUUCAUAAGUUUUAUCUAUUAGUUGCCAUCCCAUUUGCUGUUUACUUAUGCUUGAUAAUUCAAUAUCUCUUUGUUUAGAAACCAAUUCCAUAACACUGCUGCUUUUCAUCUUACACCAAAACAUUUACAGCUGCAAACAGUGGCGGAACUAGGAAUUAACUUUGGGGGGGCGAGUCUAUAGCAAUGAAAGUAAAAUAUAUUUACAAAAAAAACAAUGUGAACAUAUAUACCACAAGAUUAGAAACAACCUUAUAUAGAAUGAAAAUUACUUAUACGCUUCACAUAUACAAAAAUAUCAUCAUAUUUACAAAUCUGUUUGACUGUGUGGGACAUAUGAAAUUGUGCACGACGACUUUUAAUUUUAUCAAAGUCAUCAAUGAUUGAAUUUAUAUCAAAAGUUCUAGCAAUUUCUUUCUCAAUAUACAUUAUCAUAGAGUUGGCAAGAAAGUCUUCCUUCAUCCUAGAACGCAAACAGGUGUUGAUGAUUUUCAUAGCAGAAAAUGCAUGCUCUGUUGUGGCUGUUGAAACAGGAAGAGUCAAAAUAAGACGAAUCAAUCUAUUAAUAAGAGUAUAGCACAUUGACUUUCUUGUCUUUGCUAACACUUGGCACAACUCCUGAAGUGAUGACAAAUUUUGAAACUGAGAAUUACAGGAAAGCUCAAUCUGGAAAAGCUCUAAUUGAGUUCUUAAGUGUAACUUCUCUUGAUCUGUGAAGUCAGCUAAAUAAAACUUGUUUGCAAGUUGACAAAUUUGUUCAAUAUUGAAAGCCUGAAAAUUAUCUUUGGGAUGCAAUGCUGAACUAAGAAUAAGCAACUCUAUUACAUCUUCCUUAAACCUAUUCUUCAUUUCAAGUAUUUGAGAAUCAACCGUUGCCAAAAACACAUCAAUCCUGUAGUGAUGCUCCAUGGUAAUUGGAUCAUUUUGUUUUCGAAUUCUUCCUCGACCUGCUUUAUAAAUGACAUUCAUACCAGGCAUCUCUUUAUUUCGUGCAUCACAAAAUGUCUUUACAUUGGUGAACAACUCAUUCCAUCCAUUAUCUCUGCAACUUUGAAGUCGAUCAUUUGUUACUGAAACCAACUUAAGGGCAUUCAAAAUAUCUUGAGAUUUGCAUUGUAAAGAUUGAGAAAGUACUUGUGCAAAUCCUAAAAUGUCCCUCAUCAUAUGCAUAACAAGAACAAAAUCAAAGGAUGUCAUGAAAUCGUAAACUCUGUCAGCUUCAUUUCUUUGAGUUGAUGUAUUUCCAUAAUUGAUAACAUCAAUUAGGAUAGAGCAAAUGUCUUCAUAUUCUGUGAAUAAGCUACAGAUAGAACUAAAAUGAGACCCCCAUCUUGUAGUCCCUGGCCGUUUUAAGAUACCAAUCUGAUUCAAGUUCAUCAAUAGCAAUCAAUUCAGCAAUUCUAGCAGUUCUAGCAACUCUAAGUUGGUCCACCCAUUUGCAAGAAGAUGAAAUUAAAUUUAUAAGAAGAGAUAAGUAUGUAAAGAAUUGUUCCACAGGAAUUACCUCUUGAGAUGUUGCUACCAAUGUUAAUUGCAGUCGAUGAGCAAAACAGUGAAUAUAAUAUGUAUAGGGGCACUCUUGAAUAAAUAAUACUUGCAGUCCAUUCCAUUCUCCACGCAUGUUACUAGCUCCAUCAUAUUCUUGGCCACGAAUGUUUUGCACACUAAGAUUAUGACGAGAAAGGACAUCACAUAACUCCUUCUUCAAAGUCAAGGAAUUGGUUUCGUGCACAUGAACAAUGUCAAAAAAUCUCUCUCGAAUAUAGCCUUGCUUGUCCACAAAUCUAAAAACAAUAGCCAUUUGCUCUCUUUUUGAUCUAUCUUGAGCCUCAUCAACAAGUAUAGAAAAUUUUGAAUCACUAAUCUCCUCUCGAAUAUACUUUUGUAUCUUGCUCGACCAAAUGGACAAUAUCUCCUUUUGGAUCGCAGGAGAAGUAUAAGAUGCAUUUUGAGGAGCAUUAUCAAGGACUACAGCAGCCGCUUUUUCAUUAUAAGAAGACACAUGCUUGAUCAACUCAAUAAAAUUACCUCGAUUGUUAGAAUCUAAACUUUCAUCAUGACCCCUAAAAGCCACCGCUUGAAAUGCACACCAUUUUGCAGCAUCUAUGAAAACUUGAAGGUGCAACUGAUUUUUUGCAACCUACUCAGAAUUUUGCUUCUCAAUAAUUUUAUCAAGAUGUUGCAAUGAGUUUCCCAAAUCAUGAUAGCAUUGCAUUGCCACUUUGUGUGAUGAGUUAGGAUCUUUUCCAAUGUGAUUUAAAAAAGAACAAUUUUUUCCAUCAUUUACCUUCUUCCAUGAUCUAAAUCCACUAGUUGUGAAGGCCAUUGAUCCAAAACGGUCCGUUGGCUUGGAAAAAAGUGAGCAAGGAAAACAAAAGGCAGCAUUCUUUGUUGGAGAAAAUUCCAACCAAUCUGGAAACAAUUUAUACCAAGAGAAAAGGAAACGUCGGCCCUUCUUGUCAACAACCAUUGAUUCAAUCGGAAGCUCAGGUUGGUAUGGCCCAAACUUAAUAUAUGCUCUCCGUACCUCAUCCCUUUGAUGCUCUAGAUAUUCCCAAAUGGAUUUUCGCUUUCCAGGAUCACGUUCUAUGGAUGAAAAAAGAAUCAAUUGUCCUAUUGGCCAUUACCACUACAUUUGUAACAAAACAACAACCUGUAAUAGAAAUAAAAUUGAUUGAGAAAUGCUGGUUAUGGCCUAGAGAGAUGGGAAUUUGACCAAUGCAAAAGACUGGUUUCCCUAAUUCCCUUACAAAUUUCGGCCAUUCAGCCUGACUGAAAAGUCCGGCCAUCACCCAAGGAAGCCAACAGGAUCCUUAAAAUAAAAUUAGUAUGAAAAUUGGAAAAGAAAACCACUCUCAGAAUCAACUAAAAUAAAUGCUUAUCACCCAAAUUCAGAAGGCCAAGUACGAAAAACAAUAGAAGUCCCUCUCGAGCAAUUCAUCAAACAACGGGCGGGCGAACUUUUUACACCCACAUUUCACUAAAUAAAUGCAAUGUCAAACUAACCUGGUAAAUGGUAAUAGCUACAAUAGUCUGAAAUGGUAUUGAUGAUCAGUGUUAGUUUAUCUGGCAUUGCAACUUACAGGUCAAUUUAAGCAACCAAUGCCUAAUUCAUUAACCUGCUCUGAUGAUACAAUAAUAUGAAACAACCCCUUUACUUCCUGAAAAAAAAAGACACGUUCAGCAAAUGCUAAAAGAAAAAUUACCUAGACCAUGCAAAAUGCAAUGGUACAAUCCUUAGUCAUGUGCGAGGGAAGGUCUUCACAGGAGAAGAUCAAUUCCAGUAAUUAAUGAUGUAUCGUUUGAGCAGAUUUGAUACAUCUCUGCGGAACAAGGUGAGAAGAUUUUGACGUUUCUACUUUCUAGGAAGAAGAACUGUAGCAGAGUCAAUAGCCAGGUUAACUAGCUAUCUUUUCUUUGUACUUGUAUGAAGUCCGUUAAGAAAAGUGGCAAUUCUCUGUUAUUUGGACCAAAUCCAAAUAACUUUCAAACAUUAUUGUUUGGGCCCUUGGGGGGGCAAAGUGAAUUUUUUGAUCAAUUUUUGGGGGGGGCAAAACAUAAUAAUAAAUUUUUUUUUACUUAGAAAUUUUUUUUUAACAAUUGGGGGGGGGGGGCGGUUGCCCCCCUAGCCCCCCUUCUCUCCGCCCCUGGCUGCAAACACAUUAUACAGGCAAUUCAAGUCCAAUAUAGUCUCGUUCACUUACAAAUAUCCCAAGUUACCAAACUUGGCCAGAAAUUAAGAAUCCCACAAAACCAACUUCAGUAAUCCAAUUCAACUGUCCUGAUUCUUAAGUCAGCAUGAAUUUUCUUUAUGUCUAAAAUUUCCUUAUUUUGGCAUUGAAAACUGGAAAGAACUAAGAUAGCAGAAGUUAUUACCCUUUCAAGAAUUGAAGUGGCUUCUUUUGUUGUACUCUUUUCCCUCUCCGCUAACAAAGAAAACAUUUUUUCUUUCCAAUCACCAUAUUGCCCAUACUAACCCAAAUAAUGAAAUUCAAAAUUUUCAAAAACCCAGAUGCAAAUUCCAUAAAUAAAUGCGAAUGAAGUAUGAAAAUAACAAAACAGAAAAUUAAAGAAAAACUUUCUACAUAGGAGGGACGGGAAGAGAGGCCUUACUGAUGGGGCAGGAGAUAGGAAGCCGGAGUGGGAAUGAUUGAGGAGAGAAGAAGGGGCGUUGUAGUCAAAACGAUGAAUUCUGAUCAUUCAUAGUAGAGUUCUGCUCUCAGGACUUCAGCUCCUUCUUGGUUUUCAGUUUCACUCUCACUGCUUCUUCUGCUCCUCUGUGUUGUCCGAAGCUUUUCAGCAAUUUUUAUGAGUCUACAGGCCAGGGUAUGUUUCAUUUCCAGUAUUUAUCUCACCCCCCGGGCCCCCUUCAAAUUUGGGUAUAAACGAGUUUUUAUAAGACAAGUUUUUUGUCAAGUUUGUCUGCUACAAGUUUUUUAAAAACUUUAGUUACAGUAAUUUCAAAAAUUUUUAAACUAUACACUUCAAAAUAUUCAAAACAAACACACUUCAAAAAUUUUUUUAAAAACUUCUACAGUAAGUUACAGUAAAGUUUUAGACAAAUACCCAAAAAACUCACUUGCCAAACGGGGUCUAAAGUUUACUAAAAGCAUACUACUGUUUAAUUCUUAAAUUUUUUAGCCAAGUUCUAACCCUAAAGAAUUCCUUACUCAGCAUUAGCAUAAGCAGGGAUCUUUUCGGUUUAUUCUUCGCAUGAAGCAAUUUUAUUUGUUUGGUUGAAGGUAGAUUUUAAAUCUUUAAAGGGCGGGAGAGGAGUGGUGGGAAUAGGGGGAUAGCAAAUGAGUCAAAUAAAAAACUCUUAAAAUCUCCUGGGAAGAGGGAUGGGUUGGAGGAAACUUCACUCAUCUCUAGUAAAUUCUUUUUCUAUUUUUCGUAGUGCAUAUCUGAAUGCACGACACGCGUUUUUAUUUAUUAACAAGGGUUAGGAUUAGUCAAAUUUAAAAUAAUCAUGUUUCAGUCUAUUAAAUGAAAACAUAUGUUAUACAUCCAGUUAUGUAUUGUGAAAAAUGGAGAGAGAUUCCACUAAAGGGAAGUCAAAUCUAGUACAAAGAAGGGAGUAUAAAUGAGAUAUUUUGAGUUCGAAACUUUCCACUUACAUUUAAAAAAUUCCUUAAAGUCACCCAAUUGAUAGGUUGCAAUUUUUGUUAUUAAAUUUAUGAAUGUUCUCCCCUUGUUUUUAGUCAAAUAUUGCAUUAAUUGGUUGAUUCUACUUAUAUUUAGUAAUUGGUUAUGGUUGUAGGGAUCUAAAGUAAAAAGAAAUUAAAAAUGUAAUUAUUAAUGGAACUUCUAUUCAAAUUAGCAUGGACCCAUCAAAGUCUAACUUUGUAUAUUUGGAAAGUUUGGAAUUUGACACGUGGUCUCUAAUUUUAAAUUGAAGUCGCAAUAAUCAAACUUUUGACCAAUAGAUAGUCUUUCUAUUUUUAUUAGGGGGAAAAUGGCCAAUUUCGUCCCUAUACUUUUUUAUAGUGUCAAUUCAGUUCCUAUAUAAUUUUUUUGGCCAAUUUGAUACCUAUACUUAUUUUGCGGUACCAAUUGAGGAACGCCGCAGUGGCUUCACCAUGUAAAUUCGAUUAACCUAUUAAUUGAGCAACUAAGCAGGGGUAUUUCGGGCACUUCACUGCUUCUUCAUUUUUCACCUUUUCUUCUUCAUCUUGCUUAUCACCAUCCACAGAAGCCAUAGCCGGAGUAGCAGAUCCGUCUCACUCCAACUCGAGGAAAGAUGCCGGUGACGUACGCGAGACCAGGCUUUCAGUAGAGUCCUCAAAUACACAAGAAGGAAUGUCAUUUUCAUUAUGUGGCUGGGAAACCGCCAUUGAGCUAGACUGAUUAUUAUAUUCAUGAUUGACAUUAGAACACUUCUCAGAUGCAUUUUGAUCAACCAUGGCCCUAGCUUCAAAUUCAAGUCAUUUUGCUUCAUAGGCUCUUGAAGCUUCCUUUACAAAUGACGUGCUCAGGGUAUACAUAUAAUAUUAAGCUCAUCUAAUCAAGUUUUACAUUUACAAACUCCUAAAUACCCCACAUGCGAUUUAUCGCAAGUAUACGAAUCGUGAGCGAGUAUAGGGUAUUAAGGGUCGAUCCCACAAGGAAGAUUGCAAUUACCGGCACUACUAUAGCUUCUCUAUUAUUUAGACUAUCAGUGAAUUAUAACAAAUUAAACCUACUGAAAUUAUACAAAAUAACAAAUGAAAGCUCCUUACGUUGUGGUAUCCCUAACUACUCAUGCAAGUGCUAUAUUUAGAUCAUUGAGUACUACUAUCAAGGCUAGUUAUGGUGUAAUUUGCUUAAACAUGUGAAACCUACUUUCGAAGUGAAUCAACUAUACUUAUAACUAAUCCAUACAUAUUCUCAUGGUUAUGAAAUUAGCUACAAGUUCAUUUCUUCAGUGAAAUUACAUGAAAUCAAUCACUAAAACCACAUAGAUGCACCUCUACUUUCGUGAGUGUACUCCCUAUGUUUAGCACUUCUUGAACUAGUGAUAAAUCUCAACUUUCAUUGCAGAAACAACACCUUAGAUAAUCACAAUUAAUGGUACCAGAUUAAUCAUGAUUUAAAGAGCCAAAGUGCUAAAUAACUUGCUCAAAUCAUAGCAAUCAAAUAACCAAAUAAUAAACACUAACAAUCAUAGAAAGUUCAACCAAACUCAAGGCAUAAACUUUAAAGAUACAUAUUAAACACAAAAUCCAGAACUUGUAUAUUAACCAAACUUAAGAAUUUGAUACAAAAGAUAAAGAGUUGGAGAAGAGAUAACCCAUGUCACUUGAGUUUCAACUCCUCCAUCUUCAUCUUCAUCUCCAUAUUCAUCCUAAUCUAGCCAAGACACAAGAAUGGAUGAUCUAUACCACUCUACACUAAGCUAAACUAACACUGACAGGUGCCGAACCUGUGCAAUAAUAAUUACUUAAAAGUCCUAACUACCACCACAAUUAAUUAUAGAGCAAAUCCAAGUACUAGAGCAGGGACCCUAGGUGUGCAAUGGGUUACUUGAUUCACCCUGUUCCCGAAGAGUUUGUUUGAUCCGAUAUACCAGAUUUGUCUAUACAAAUAUUAAUUUUGCGUACAAUGGCAAGUAGGGUCGAUUCCACAGGGAGCGGAUAGGAAAUUAUUUCUUUCCAAACCAAUAGAAUAAAUUGGGGGAUUUUUAAUGGGAGGCAAAUAAAAAAAAAUAAGAAUAAAAAUAAAGCAAACUAAGUUCGAAACUAAUUCACAAAGCACAAGUUAAUAAAAGUAGCAAUUAAUAAAAUUCUACCCAAAGGAUCAACUGCUCAGGUACGGUCCAAUUAAAUGAUCAUCGAUGCAAAGAUAUUUCAUCCAUUCAUCAUUAGGUUGGUUAUAGUUAUCAACAAGCUCUAACAACCAGUUCUUCCUUACCUUUUCGACAGUCAAGGUACGACCAUUGACUGCUUCUCUAACCAGAUAACAACUCUAGGUACGACCGUAGGAAUUUAAUUACCCAAUUGCAUUAAAGUUAGAAGAACCCAACCCUAACUAAUAAACACGCUAAGAGGAUUUAUUUAAGUUAGAUCUUACGUUUUCCCAACAUAAAGCCAAUUAUGGUGGUUGUCACUAGGUAUCAACUAAACGAACAAUUACGGAUUCAAUUUAGUUAAUGUGACAGUAGGCUAUUAAAUUAAAUCAAAUACCCGGCCGUUGAUAUUCAAUUAAUAAAAUACCCAUGAACAAUUAAGCCAGGAAACGCACGAAUAGCAGUAAAUUGGAAGAAAUAAUGAAGAUUCGAUUAGAUCUCACAGAUAUUAUGGACCGCGCCCUCACGUCAACCUUUGGGUAGAGGAGAAAAUUAGCCGCUCCUCAUCGCGUCAAUCCCGCGUGAUUUAAUUGAGUUCAUUCAAUUAACUGCCGAAGAAUUGGGAAGGUAAUUAUUUGAAGGAACAACCGAGGGGGCCCUGAUUUCGCAUUCGUUUUGGAGCCGCAAUCUCAAAGCAGAGAGCCACGAAGAAUUGUCACAGGCGGAAGGAACGAAUUCAAGAGUCAGAGUCGCAUAAAGCCAAAAACUACAGAAAAGAAGAAAGUCUCCAAUGUCUGACCCAAAGCCGCAGAAGAAACAAAAGAAAAACGUCUAACCCCAAAAAUUGCAAAAAGUAAAACUAAAGCUAAAAGAAGUGAUCCCCCCGAAUCUUGCUUUUUCCUUCUUUUUAUAUCCGCCGUCAGUAGUAUUCCUCCCAGGAGGAGGCUUUUGCCAAAGGGGCGCUGAUCCCACGCUUCAGGUUCACGUGGACCGAGGUCCGGCUUUUCGGUAACGUCUACCUUGUCUGGCGUGGCCACGCCCUGAAAUGAAAGGUCUUCUGGAAAUUUACCUCGAGAUAUCAUUUUUAAUGCUAACCACCUACAAUUCACACAAAUAUAAAAAAUGAGCGAAAUUCCAUUUCUUAGCACCAUGAAUAGCCAAAAUUAGGACAAGAUGACAAUGCAAAAUGUGCCAAAUAACUGUUCUAUCAAAUCCCCCCACACCUAGACAAUACUUGCCCUCAAGCAUUUCGGAGCUCAGAAGUGCAACCGAGAGAGCAAAGGUCAUGCAAUAAACUAUACUAACACAAGCACCUCAGAUCCCUGACCGUGUCGCCAAAAUGAGAAUACACCGGACAGGUUGUAAGUCAAAGAAAAUAUAUGAAUACUAGGGACGCUCAAAUCAACAUCACGGAAUGCCAUUACCAUAGGCUUGCACAUUUAUCGCAUCUCCACCACUCAAAAGUAAACUAAAUACAUAAAUCAAAGGACUUCGAUAGGGUUGUAAUGGGGUUCAGGUGAAAGGUGGGAUAAGAAGGUAAAAAUAGGGGAUAAUGAGUCAAGAGAAUGUCCGAAACCCACCAUAUCAAACAAGGCAGUUUUCAUUUGCUGUACACACUGUGCAAGUGUCGCGAAUUUUUUUUUCUCUUUUUUUUUUCUUUUUUAGACGGCUUGCAAGGCGUGGGCACGCCUUGUAGGCUGGAGUCUUCUGUUCACAAGCCUCUUUUUUUUUUCCGAUCUCAGAUAUACAGGAACAUCACCAUACAGCAUCUACUCUGAAACACUUGCGACCAUAGAUUUAUUUGCCUUGUAUAAGUAAUGAAUUUUAGACAUACCUUUACAACACAGGGGUGAACAAGAAAGUCUAAAGAGGUCUUGGGUGCUCACAUAGAUGACAACAACUCGACGGAUACAAGCUCAAAUUGGUUCACUAUUGGAAGAUAGGAUGGGGGCUUGAUUUUGAGACAGCUAAAGAGGGUUGAAUCCUAAAUGCCCUCUUCAUUUUCAAUGCAUCUAGUUCAACAAAAUAUAGCCUUGACAUGCAUAAAAUAGCAAAUUCUAGAAUGCCAAUACCAUGUGUGAUACCCACUCAAUCAAACAAAAAUAAAGCAAAUAAGAAUAGUGUGCUCAUACAUGGCUCAAAAGCUCACAAGAGUUUCCAAGAAUGGGUCAAGUCCCGUAUACUCAAUAUCUAACAACACAGUCAAGGGAAGACAAAAAUGCAUAGCUAGUAUAAUUAACCACACACCCAAGCACUGUGAUUGUAAAAUUCAUCAUAGCAAACAAAAAGUCAACUAACUACCCCCCUUUUCUUUUUUUUUCUUUUUUUUUUUUUGUAGAGAGAAAUAAUAGAAACCAUCCCCCCCACACCUAAAACCUACAUUGCCCCCAAUGUAGCAAGGAUAAAUAAAGUGCAAAGAAAAAUGGAGCAAAACUUCCCUGACUACUGGGGCGGUGCAGCGAGAGCCUAAGGAGGCGGAGGAUGUGGUGGUCGGAAUCCAAUAUGAGCAUAGAAAGCCGCUUGAUUCUCUGUCUGAAUACGGGCGAAUACCUGUAGUGCUCUAAGACGGUCCUCUAGUCCAUCAACUCGCCCCCCUAGCGCAUGGAUAGACUCAUGGAGAGAGUGAUAUUGGGACUCCCAAGCAGGGGGAGCAUGAUAGGAGGACGGACCCGCCUGAUCCGGAUGGGGUGGAGAGUCAGUGGAGGGUGCAGUUGGAGGCACCCGAGGUCGUGGCCCGCCCUCGCCAGGGGGCGUAAAUUGAUAGGCAUCCCCCACCUUGAAAAUAAUCCCCAUCCGCUCCAAACUGCGCAAAUCCAGAGGCUCAAUUUCCCGAGCUAGAGCGAAGUUGUGCGGUUUGUCGAGGUCAAGCAAACCCAAUCGAAUGGCCAAGUGGGUAAUGAGUGAGCCCACAAUGAUCGGUUUAUUGCGCUUCUGGAUGACUGUUUGCAUUUGAGUGGCUACCCAACAUCCAAAAUUAACCGGAACAUUGUUGCGCAUGCACCAAAGGAAAUAAAAUUCUGCCUUGGUAAGAGUGCCGGAAGAAUCUUUCCGCCCCGAGAAAUUGAUAGCCAGGAACCUGUGGAUGACCUUUAAGACCGGAUCCUUCAAAUGAGAGGCCUUGGACUGACUCGGAUUGUAAACUUGACGAUCUGUGGACCACUCCCUCCAAAUGUCAAUGUGGUCAGUCGAAAACGGUCGGGUGUAGUCACACGCACUGUUUAUAUAUGCUCCGGAAGCAAUGGUACCCUCACCAACAAACCCCAAAGUUAGAUUAAACUCAUUAAUGGACAUACCAUACUGGAUCCCUCUUAGUCGAAAUUUAACAAUCUCCGGCUCAUCCAGAGUGAUGAAUUCAUUGACGAUGAACUCGAAAGUGGAGAAGAAUUCACAACACAGCUCCUCAAACGUAGGGUAAUCAAUGGUCAGGUACUUCCCCCAACCUAUUGCCGAGAACAACUGUUCAACUUCUCGCGCAAUUUGCAAAUGGUCCAGGGUUGGAGCAUGGAAACACUUACAGGGGGCAAAAGGACGGUGGACCAAGUUAUUGAACCGGUCCUGUUGCGGCCUUGUAAGGUUAGUGACCGGUUCCCCCCAUUCCCCAGGAGACAUAGUGCUCUUAUUCAGACCCAAACGGGACCGAAUGGGGGGUUGAACCGGUGCUCGCCUCUUACGAGGUUGGGACCCAGAUGGCCCAGCAAUUGUUGCCUGUUUCGGGGGCAUUCGGAUACCACAGGCAAGGUGUAAAUCAGCCCAGAGACAGUUAAUCAAUUACCCAAAAGCAAACAGGGGACCACACUUAACAGUUAAUAUGCAACUACAGUCGUCUAAUAGCAAAGAGGGAACACAAUUACCUCAACAACCAACGACAAGUCAACAAACACAAGAAUUCCCUACUGGCGUCACGUGGUAGACAACAAUAAAGAAAACAGCACCAACACCUCAAAAAUUGCACUAGCAGUCAAUAAUAGUCAAUAUCAAAAACACCAGAGCCCACAAAUGUAUCCCAAAUUGAUAAUCAACAAAAGGCAGAUAUGACGUCUCCCACGUCCAGACAACAGUCAAAUGGUCCCCCAACCAAAAUCAACAGGUAUGUCAACCCGACAGGAGGCAAAAAUUUAGCAAUUAAAAGUCCCAAAUCGAAGUCAUUAAGUCAACAAGAGAGGCAAAUAGGGGUACCACUUUUACUCUUGGUCCACGCUGGAGAGGAAAAUGGCGGAGAAAAGAGAGCUGGUGGCUGGUCGGGUGCACGGGCUGAGCGUGGAACAGGCGCGGUGGUCGUGCGCAGGCAGGGGGUCGCGCGCGAGGGCACGCGCUGAGGACUCGCACACAGGCAGCUGGUCGCGCGCUUGGCUCACGGGCAGCCGUGCAGGAGGUAAUCAGCGCGCUGCUGGGGCUGCUCGCGCGCUGUGGAGGUCGCGCGCUUGGCUGAGCGUGCCUGUUGCUGAGGAGAGCAGGGGUUGUGCUGCGCAGGUAGCUGGAUCUGGGCGUAGGCGUACUGGGCUGCACAGGCGGGUGGUGGUACGACGCGAGAUGGGGGCCGCGCGGCGCUGAAGAGAGCAGAGGCGCGCGACGGCAGCAGCGGCGACGGCUUGACCAAAACAGGGAGAAGGAGUUGUUGCAGCGUAGCAAAAAGAAAUUUGGAGGAUAAAGGCCAAGACCGGUCAAAGAAGAAGGAAAAGUGGAAGAAGUAGGGUCUUGGUCAAUUUUUUUUUUUUUGACUUUCGCUAUCUGAAGGAUUAGAAGGCGUGGGCACGCCUUGGAGGACCUGGUCUUCUGACCAUCGCAUCCUAAUGAUACUCAAACGAAUUUUUUGUCAAGGCGCGGGCACGCCUUGGAACACCUAUUCUUCUGUCUAUCACUACAAAAACAAUCAAAACUGAAAAAUAAAACUGAAAAAUCGCGAAGUAAUGAAGAAUGAUCACAACUAAUACUGUAAUCCUUGGGUUGCCUCCCAAGCAGCGCCUUUUUUUAAUGUUUUUGGCUAGACAUGGCCUUCAAUUGUUUAGACUUCACCACUUUGAUUAUCAAGGAAUAGAACCUCCACUUGCUCACUAUUAAACCCUUCAUAAUAAAGCUUUAGAUGGUGACCAUUGACUACGAACCUUUUCUCUGUCUUAAGACUUUGGAUUUCCACUGCACCAAAAUGAAAAAUAUUAGAAACAACAAAUGGACCAAUCCAACGGGAACGCAGCUUACCAGGAAAAAGCUCAAGUCUCGAGUGAUAGAGUAGGACUUUUUGCCCUACGACAAAUGACUUUCUUGAAACUUGUUGGUCAUGAAAAAUUUUGCUUUUCUCCUUAUAAAUUGCAGCGUUCUCAUAAGCUUCAUGCCUUAGCUCCUCCAACUCUUGCAAUUGGAGCUUUCUCUGCCCUCCGGCCUCCAUAAGGUCCAUGUUACACUGUUUAAGCGCCCAGAACGCUCGGUGUUCAAAUUCCACUGGGAGGUGACACGGCUUACCAAAGACUAACCUGUAUGGGGACAUCCCAAUUGGUGUUUUGUAUGCGGUGCGGUAAGCCCAGAGAGCAUCUUCCAGCUUCAAGCUCUAGUCUUUCCUAUCAGGCCGCACCAUCUUCUCCAAGAUUGACUUAACUUCCCUAUUCGAUACUUCGGCCUGACCGUUCGUCUGCGGAUGAUAUGGAGUGGACACUUUAUGGAGCACGCCAUACUUACGAAACAAUGCAGUGAUUGUCUUAUUGCAAAAAUGGGUGCCCCUGUCACUCACUAUAGCUCUCGGCAUUCCAAAACGAACAAAAAUGUUAGAUUUUAUAAACUCUGCAACCACUCUCGAAUCAUUAGUCCGGGUGGCCUUCGCCUCCACCCAUUUGGAAACAUAAUCGACAGCAAGUAUAAUAUAUAGAAAACCAAAGGAUGAGGGAAAGGGACUCAUGAAAUCUAUGCCCCAGACAUCAAAAAUUUCAACAAAUAAUAUGGGGGUUUGACUCAUUUGGUCUCUACGAGAGAUAUUCCCCACCCUUUGACACUUAUCACAAGAUUUGCAGAACAAAUAUGCAUCCUUAAAAAGAGUAGGCCAAUAGAAACCACUUUCUAACACCUUACGAGCCGUCCGCUUUGGACCAAAAUGCCCUCCACAUGCAAAUGAAUGACUAAAGGUCAAAAUAGGCUGGAACUCACUUGCACUUACACACCUUCUUACCAUUUGGUCCGCGCAUUGCCUCCACAGGUACGGGUCAUCCCAGAUAUAGUGCUUGGCAUCACUCUUCAAUUUUUCUCUCUUAGCUUUUGACCAACCUGCAGGCAAUUGAUUCGUUACCAAAAAAUUGACAAUAUCAGCGUACCAAGGUAUUGACGAAUCCAUGGCUAAUAAUUGCUCCUCAGAAAAUGAUUCUCUCAACGGUAGAUCCUCUUGAUUUGUGAGCAACCGGCUCAAAUGGUCAGCCACCAAAUUCUCGGCCCCGCUCUUGUUCUUGAUCUCUAGAUCGAACUCUUGCAGGAGCAAGAUCCACCUGAUCAGCCUCGGUUUUGCAUCCUUCUUCGCCAGCAGGUACCUCAGGGCUGCAUGAUCAGAGAAAACAAUUACUUUUGCACCCAAUAAAUAUGAUCUAAAUUUCUCUAGUGCAAAAACGACUGCUAAUAGUUCUUUCUCCGUCAUGGAGUAAUUAGUUGGGCUCCACUUAAUGCUCUCGAUGCAUAGUAGAUUGCGUGUGCCGCUUUUCCUAUCCUUUGCCCCAACACGGCUCCCACGGCAUAAUCGCUCGCGUCACACAUGAUCUCAAACGAAAGGCUCCAAUCCGGAGGUUGAAUGACAGGCGGCGAUGUCAACGAUUCCUUUAGUUUAUCAAAAGCCAUCUUGCAUUCAUUGGUGAAAUCAAAUAUCACAUCCUUUUGCAGCAACUUGAACAGGGGUGCUCCAAUCUUUGAGAAAUCCUUGAUGAACCUCCUGUAAAAUUCUGCAUUGCCUAAAAAGGAACGUACUUCCUGUACACAAACGGGGUAAGGCAGAGCAGAAAUAAGAUCUAUUUUAGCUUUGUCUACCCCUAUCCCCUUAGCCGACACAACGUGCCCUAAGACAAUGCCAUGUUCUACCAUAAAGUGACACUUCUCCCAGUUAAGAACCAAAUUCGUCUCUAUGCAUCUUUUUAAAAUUAGAGCUAAAUUAUCAAGACAUUCAUCAAAACUAUUCCCGUAUACACUAAAAUCAUCCAUGAACACCUCAAUAAUUUUUUCUACAUACUCGGAGAAAAUACUUACCAUACACCUUUGAAAGGUUGCUGGAGCAUUGCAGAGACCGAAAGGCAUCCGACAGUAAGCGAAUGUACCGAAUGGGCAUGUGAAUGUAGUUUAUUCCUGGUCUUCUGGUGCUAUCGCGAUCUGAAAGUAACCUGAAAAGCCAUCCAAGAAACAAUAGUAAACACGACCCGCUAAUCGUUCUACCAUCUGAUCAAUAAAAGGGAGGGGGAAAUGGUCCUUUUUAGUCACAGAAUUUAGCCUCCGGUAGUCGAUGCACUGACGUCAGCCAAUAGCUUUCCUAACCGGAACCAUGUCACCCUCCUGGUUCUCCUCUACGGUUACUCCCGCUUUCUUCGGGACCACCGGAACUGGGCUCACCCAGGGACUGUCUGAAAUGGCGAAAAUGAUCCCUACCUCCAGGAGUUUGAGUAUCUCCUUCUUCACAACCUCCAUAAUUAAGGGAUUCAGUUUUCGCUGUGCUUGCUUCACCGGUUUUGCAUCAUUCUCGAGUCUUAUCCGAUGCAUGCACAAGGACGAGCUUAUCCCUUUUAUAUCGGCUAUGCUUCACCCGAUUGCCUCCUUGUGAUCUCUAAGGAGUCGCACCAGUCUUUCCUCCUGACUUAGAGACAGAUGAGCAGAGAUAAUCACAGGAAGUGUCUCUCUGUCUCCCAGGAAUACAUACUUCAAAUGCUUCGGGAGGGGUUUGAGCUCUAACUCCGGUGCCUGCACAACUAAAGGAAGCGACUUUGUCUGAGCCUCUAGCACAAAAAGAGAAGUAAGCUCGUGCCUUGGAGGUACGGUUGGAAGUGAGUGCAGGGCUUCAACUGUGUGGUGUAGCUCAUUCCUCAUGUCCACAUCAAGAGUCACACCCAACUCAAGAUACUUGGUUAGGGCCACUUCUAAUGCAUCUUCACCAUCCAAUUCAAAAGUUUCUUGCACAAACGGCUCAAUAACACUCAAAGCGAAGACUGAGUUAGAUUCCUCUGGAUAUUUCAUUGCCUAAAAAAUGUUAAAAUUCACAGUUUCACUAUCAAAUUCCAUUGAUAAAGUACCCCCAUUCACAUCUAUUUUGGUCCUGACAGUGCUAAGAAACGGUCUACUCAACAAGAUAGGCGAUGGAUUUAAUGAUUUCUCAUCUCCCAUAUCCAAGAUAUAAAAGUCUGCAGGAAAGACUAAUUCAUUUACCUGAACCAAAACAUCCUCAACUAGCCCCUCUGGAUAAGCAUUUGUGCGAUCAGUUAGUUGGAUUAUGAUGGCUGUUUCUUUUAGUGGCCCAAGGUUCAGAGAAGCAAAAAUGGUCUUUGGCAUCACAUUAAUUGACGCCCCUAAAUCUAACAUUGCUUUUCUAAUCGGUGUAUUUCCUAUUUUGCAUGGGAUCGUGAACAUACCUGAAUCUCCACACUUGGGUGGGAGAUUUCUUUGGAGAAUGGCUGAUACGUUUUCUCCCACCGCUACUCUUUCAUCCCCUCUCAAUUUCCUCUUAUGAGUGCAUAAGUCCUUGAGAAAUUUCGCGUAUUUCGGCACUUGCUUAAUUGCUUCUAACAAGGGGAUGUUGAUCUCCACUUUCCAGAAUACGUCCAGGAUCUCUUUUUCCUUCUCUGUCUUUUUCGUCUUUGCCAACCUGCAUGGGAAAGGGGGUAAAUUAGAUUUAACGGGUAUUGAUGGUGUACGAGUUAUCUCAGGAUCUCCACGAAUGUGUCAUUCUUCAUCCAUCUCCUUCUCGAUCUCGUCUUCACUUUUACUCUUCAAGUUCGUGACCUUUGGCCCCUCCACUUCCUUGCCACUCCUUAAUGUCAUGGCACUUACAUUUCUGGGGUUUGCCUCAGAUUGCGAUGGUAAUUUUCCAUAGACGUGGGACUCCAGGCGAUUAAUGGCAGUUGCCAUUUGACUCAUACGAGUCUCCAUGUCUUUCAUGCCUGUUUUGGUGUCAUGCUGGAACUGAGCUAUAUUCGAGGUCAAUAAUCUGGUCUCCUGCUGGAGCUAUCUUGUCUCUUGCUGGAUCUGGGAGGUAGUAGUAGCCAGACUUUUGACAAUAUCCUCCAAAGAACUCCCUGUGUUGGAGGAUGAAGGUUGGGGUUUCGGUUGCCAUGGUUGCUGAAACCCUGGUGGACGAUUGGAGAGUGAAUUUUGCGGUCGGUUUCCAUAACUGAAAUUGGGAUGGUCUCUCCAACCGGGGUUGUAUGUGUUGGAGUACGGGUCAUACUGCUUGAGGGGCGCGGGCACGCCUCCGGCCAUGUUUACCUGUUCCGCCCCGUCCUCUUGCAAAAUGGGGCACGUGUCCGUGCAGUGGUCCAUGCUAGUGCAGAUUCCACACACCUUUGCUUGCGGCGUGUCUCUCAUGGCUAAUUGCCUAACAACAGACGUCAACUCUGACAGUUGCUGCUGUAUGGAUGAAGUCUCUACCUCGUUGACUCUACGGGGAGGGUUGCUCUCACGGAAGCCAAAUUGCUGGAAGUUCUCUGCCAUGGCUUCGAUAAGCUCCCACGCUUCCUUCGGUGUCCUGUUUGCCAGUGCUCCCCCACUCGCAGCGUCAAUGAUACUCCUAUCGGUUGAUUGGAGCCCUUCAUAGAAGUAUUGGAUUAACAGUUGUUCACUAAUUUGAUGAUGCGGGCAUCUAGUGCACAACUUGUUAAACCUUUCCCAGUAUUCAUACAAGGACUCACCGGGAUACUGUUUAAUGCUGCAGAUCUCCUUCCUCAAACUUGCAGCCCGGGAUGCAUGGAAGAAUUUUUUCAAAAAUUUCUUUUUCAACUGUGCCCAUGUGGUAAUACUACCCGCUGGUAGGUAGUAUAGCCAAUCUUUUGCUGCAUCCUUGAGAGAGAAGGGGAAAGUUCUAAGUCUUAUCUGCUCCUCAGUGACCCCAGGAGGUUUCAUACUAGAGCAAACCGCCUCGAAUUCCUUGACAUGUUUGUGGGGUUCUUCACCAGAGAGACCAUGGAAAGAAGGUAAGAGGUGAAUCAACCCCGACUUCAGUUCGAAAGCAGUAUUCUCAGCCAAAGUGGGGAAUGUGAUGCAUAAGGGCUGAUGAGUUAGCUCCGGGGCAGCCAGCUCCCUUAAUGUUUGAGUGUUGGCCAUACUUACUUCAUAUUCUACUGACUCGUUUGCAAUAAACGAGUGCCCUUCUUUUCGUCUCUUGGUCUCUUGGCUCCGCCUACGCGCUAUCUUCUCAACCUCAGGGUCGUAUAUCAAUUCACCUGUGCGAGAAGAACUAGGCAUAAACUAGUAAAAAUACCAAGAAGAAUAAAAAAAAAAUGAAAGCUGAAUUUGAAAAGAAACAAAUAAUCCAAACGCCAGCUCCCCGGCAACGGCGCCAAAAAUUAACAGGUGCUGAACCUGUACAAUAAUAAUUACUAAAAAGUCCUAACUACCACCACAAUUAAUUAUAGAGCAAAUCCAAGUACUGGAGUAGGGACCCUAGGUGUGCAAUGGGUUACUUGAUUCACCCUGUUCCCGAAGAGUUUGCUUGAUCCGAUAUACUAGAUUUGUCUAUACAAAUAUUAAUUUUGCGUACAAUAGCAAGUAGGGUCGAUUCCACAGGGAGCGGGUAGGAAAUUAUUUCUUUCCAAACCAAUAGAAUAAAUUGGGGGAUUUUUAAUGGGAGGCAAAUAAAAAAAAAUAAGAAUAAAAAUAAAGCAAACUAGGUUCGAAACUAAUUCACAAAGCACAAGUUACUAAAAGUAGCAAUUAAUAAAAUUCUACCCAAAGGAUCAACUGUUCAGGCACGGUUCAAUUAAAUGAUCAUCGAUGCAAAGAUAUUUCAUCCAUUCAUCACUAGGUUGGUUAUAGUUAUCAACAAGCUCUGACAACCAGUUCUUCCUUACCUUUUCGACAGUCAAGGUACGACCAUUGACUGCUUCCCUAACCAGAUAACAACCCUAGGUACGACCGUAGGAAUUUAAUUACCCAAUUGCAUUAAAGCUAGAAGAACCCAACCCUAACUAAUAAACACGCUAAGAGGAUUUAUUUAAGUUAGAUCUUACGUUUCCCCAACAUAAAGCCAAUUAUAGUGGUUGUCACUAGGUAUCAACUAAAAAAACAAUUACGGAUUCAAUUUAGUUAAUGUGACAGUAGGCUAUUAAAUUAAAUCAAAUACCCGGCCGUUGAUAUUCAAUUAAUAAAAUACCCAUGAACAAUUAAGCCAGGAAACGCACGAAUAGCAGUAAAUUGGAAGAAAUAAUGAAGAUUCGAUUAGAUCUCACAGAUAUUAUGGACCGCGCCCUCGCGUCAACCUUUGGGUAGAGGAGAAAAUUAGCCGCUCCUCAUCGCGUCAAUCCCGCGUGAUUUAAUUGAGUUCAUUCAAUUAACUGCCGAAGAAUUGGGAAGGUAAUUAAUUGAAGGAACAACCGAGGGGGCCCUGACUUCGCAUUCGUUUUGGAGCCGCAAUCUCAAAGCAGAGAGCCACGAAGAAUUGUCACAGGCGGAAGGAACAAAUUCAAGAGUCAGAGUCGCAUAAAGCCAAAAACUACAGAAAAGAAGAAAGUCUCCAAUGUCUGACCCAAAGCCGCAGAAGAAACAAAAGAAAAACGUCUAACCCCAAAAAUUGCAAAAAGUAAAACUAAAGCUAAAAGAAGUGAUCCCCCCGUAUCUUGCUUUUUCCUCCUUUUUAUAUCCGCCAUCAGUAGUAUUCCUCCUGAUAAGAGUUUAUUUUACGUUAUUUUAAGUGCAUUUUAUUAGUUAAUUUUGAGUUGAUUAUUUAGUUUUAUAAUUAAAAUAAAGAGGUUUUUGGUAAAAUUAUAUAUUUUUGGUAAAAGUGGAUAAUAUUGCAUUUUUAGUGAUUUUAAUGGUAAAACCUUCAUUUUUAUGCAGGAAUGAUGACUCAAUCACCAAAGGAUGGCAAAUGAGGUGAAAAAUAGAGAUUUGGUGAUGAAAUUAAGUGGUGAAAAGAAAAAUGAAGUGAAAAACGUUCAAAUGAAGAAUUGCACUUCAAGACAGUUUUGACACGCUUCAGUAUUUCGAUCAUAUCUCAGGCUACAAAACUCUGAUUUGGAUGAUUUUUAAAGCAUUGGAAAGCUAACUCAAAGGGUUACAACUUUGGUGUUUUACACAAAAACCAGUUCGGCCUGUAUCAUGGAGAAAAUCGCAGUUGAAAUAAGGUCAAAGUGAAAACGCGAGUACAAAAAACGCGAGUUGUAGCCGCGUUUUGUGUAAGCGCGUUUUGUAGCCAAAAUUCUGCAAAUUGCUCAGCUAUUUUCUCUUGUGUUCAUACCACUUUCCAGCUAUAAGAUGCAAGGGAAUCCGGUGCACAUGCUUCAGAAGUCAAAAGGGCAAAGGUGGCUUAUUUUCAAGUCAAAAACAUUGGUUAUUGACAAUUAUAACAAAGUUAGAUUUGGGGAAUCAAAAGUUGGAAUUUGACUUGGAAAAAGAAGCCUUUUGAGUGUUUUUUAUGCAGAGAUAUAGGGAGAGGUCUGGAUAUUCAUUCGUAGCUUAGCUUCUUACAGAAAAACAUAUUCUCUCUACCUAGGAAUUGCAAGAAAAAUUGGGAUCUCAUUGUGUAAUCAUCUAAGUUGAAGAACAAAGAAGAUUUUUGAAGGCUUCACCAUAUCUUGGCUAAGGCUUUCUUUACUCCUCUUGUAUUUGUAAUUCAUGAUGAUUUACAUUAAUGAAGUUAUGAGUGUUUUAUCAUUCAUGAGUAGCUAAUUUUCUUUAUCUAGGGAGUAGAUGAAGCUUAUGGCCAAAUGAUAUGAAUUGAUUGUUAUUCAUUCUUGUUAUAUGUUGUAUUAACUUGUCUACUUGUGUAUGCUUGAUUACUUGUUGUUGUUUGAUCACCAAUAACAGGUUUAUAGUUGUUUUUAUUCAUUAAGAAAUGGUAAAAAUAAUGGAAUGACACAAGUAGAACUUGAGUUGUAUAUUCAUGAGAAUAGAAAUACAUUCAAGUGGAUGAAAUUUGCAUUUCAUGUGUGAAUAAGAGCAGAUUUAGUAUUACCAAGAGAUUAGGACAAACUAAUCUGUUUUAACCCAUUAUUAUCAUGAGAAUGUGAUUUUGGUAUUUCUGGAAAUGAAUCAUUGGUUAAACAAGAGUAGUAACAAGUGUUGAAUUAAUUCAUUUUAGAUCUUUUGUGUCAUAAGUGGAAUCUACAUCCCUAGAUCUUAAUAUUUAGUGAAUUCUACUCCCCUUGAGAUAUUGCAAUUUUCUAGUUAAGAACUCUUGUAGUUGAAUUUAAUUCUAAAUUUUCUGCUUAAUUUUAUUGUGCGUCUAAAUAAUAGAGUAAAUUAGUAUCUAAUAAUUGUUUUAAUUGCUCCUCGUGGGAUCGACCCGAUACAUACCCAAUAUUACGAUUUUGGCCUGUAUACUUGCAGAAAAACGGGUAUAAUUCGGAAUUAAACUUGCACUUAUAGUAAACACCCGUCACCUCCCAGGAGGAGGCUUUUGCCAAAGGGGCGCUGAUCCCACGCUUCAGGUUCACGUGGACCGGGGUCCGGCUUUUCGGUAACGUCUACCUUGUCUAGCGUGGCCACGCCCUGAAAUGAAAGGUCUUCUGGAAAUUUACCUCGAUAUAUCAUUUUUAAUGCUAACCACCUACAAUUCACACAAAUAUAAAAAAUGAGCGAAAUUCCAUUUCUUAGCACCAUGAAUAGCCAAAAUUAGGAUAAGAUGACAAUGCAAAAUGUGCCAAAUAACUGCUCUAUCAAACACUAGGAAGAUAAAAGAGCUACAUUUCUGCACUCCAAGCUUUCUCCCGUAUCUCCUCUCUAUUUUUCUUCUAUGGUCUCCCAUCCCUUCUCUUGCAAUGAAUUUGGCUAUUUAAUGAUGAAAAUUGGUCAAGAAAUUAGGCCUCCAUCUUCCUUUUACAGCUGGGAAUGUUUCUCACAUGUCUAGCAACGCAUGUGAGUUGGUGGGACUGAAAUUGAGUUUUCCGCAUACAGAGCAGUCUUUUUCUGACCACAAUCCGGCCAGAAAUCCGGCCGGAUUGCUACAGUGAUCAUUUGGUCACUUCUGGUUCAAUUUCCAGUUCUGCUCCAAUUUUGCAUCAAUUUCAACUGAACUUUUCUUGAUGAUAAAAGCUGAUUUAGCUCUUGAUCAAAACAUAAAACUUGUAGCCCUUUGAGUUAUCUUUCCAAUGCAACAAGAAUAACCUCAUUUGGAUCUGUGUAGGCUGAGAAAUGACUGAAAUACCCUUGACUGCUCACUGCCCUGUUCCAGCUUCGACCAAUACAAAUUUGCUACUGUUAUUCGGCUUUUUGACCUGGAAAACCUUCAAACUGGAUUCAGAUGUCUUCAUCAAAGUUAUAUAUCUAUCUCUUAUCUUCAAAUGGAUUUAAUAAUCAUCCCAAUCCGAUUAUUGUAGCUCAAAUUAUAGCUGAAAUACGAAAAUGUGUCAAAACUGUCAAAAUACACAAAAUCCAAGUAGAAAGUGAUAAAAACCUCAUUUAAUCACUUCAAAGUAUUUUUCACCAAUUAUAGCCAAAAUCAUUCAUUUUCUUCCAAUAAUAUACCCAAAGUGAAUAAAAAUAAUAUAAAAUAUCAUACAAUUAUUACGUAAAUUAGUUGCUUAUCAAACUCCCCCGCACUUAAAUAAUUGCUUGUCCUCAAGCAAUCCACACAUAAUCAACUACAUUGAUUCAAGAGAUGAAACAAUAUACGCACUAUUGUCAAAUUUAAUUCCUCAAGACCUGGAAAAUAAUCAUUAUACAGUUAUUCUAAUUACACUAAAUACUCAUAAUAUCAAGUAAAGGAAAGAUAAUUAUACCCUAAUUUAACAAGUUAAAUUUAAUCUCUCACCCUAACUUAAUUUCACAAAUAAACAAAUCACAUAGUCAAUUUAUAGCAUUCCUCCUCCUAUAAUCAUUUUUUUCUCAAAAUUUUACAACUAAGAGGGAUUUAUUCAUACUAAUUUUACUUAAAUAGUGAAAAUGUCUUUUUACGCGAAAAUCGACACUUUUAGGUGAAGAUCUCCGGUUACUCGACAUUUCACUUAUUCAAGUUGCUAUGCAUACUCUUAAUUCAAAUACCUUUUUACGCGAAUGUCGACAUUUGUAGAUGCCAACUCUCCCAGUUACUUGGUACGAGAAUCAUUGGAAUAGAACAAUUUUUAUUUACUUUCUUUUCUUCUUUUUUUCUCUUUUUUUUCUUUUUUUUAUCAGAAAAUAAAUAGAUUUUUCCUCAUAGAAAAUUAAAUCAAAGGAGGAGUAUAGCUUUUAUUGACUAUAUCAAUUGCUUACUUGCAAAAUUAAGUAAAUAGAAGAAAUCUCAUUAAACAUGUAAAAUUAUAAGCAUAAUUUUCUUCACCUUACCAAAUAUACUUUCUAAAAUGUAAAAAUCCUAAUUGCAUAAUAACCAUUUUCAAGUUAAAUGAGGACUAAACUUUCCAAAAUACACAUAAAGUUUCAACAAUUGGAAGAAUUUAAACAUUUAAAGUUGGAACAAAUUAGCCCUUUUUGAAUGAAAAUGCAAAAAUUUGAAGAACUUUUGGGCCAUAGUGAAAUACUGGAAAAGAUUUUAGCAAAAUUUUUACAGAGUUUCUCCUUAUAAAUUGAUGAAAACUCUCUGCCAACAAACCUAUUUUCUAGCAAAUUAUCCACAUGACAAGCAUUUCAAACACAAUUCCAACAUUUCUAAGCAUUUAAAUCCACAAAAUAUCAUCACAUAGCCUUAAAAUGCAAGUUCAAAUAUUUCCUCCCCCACACUUAAACUUCACAUUAUCCUCAAUGUGAGAAAAGGAAAAUAAAUAAAGAGUAAAAGAAAAUACUGCUAAAUUGAACUUGCGCAAUCCGAAUCCAUGUCCAAGUGAUGAAUUUCCAACCGUAUUUGAGAAAGAAUGGAGAGUUCACUUAUUGCACCCUGAAAAAGACAAAAUCAAAACAAAUAAAUUUCUUAAAAAUAAAAUGUUGCAAUCAACAAAAACAUGCAAUUCAAGGAAAAAGGAAAAAUGAUCAAGCAUGCGGAACCAUACAAUGUUCAAGGGAUAAAAACAUGAAAUGAGCUAAUCUUUGCUAAUCAAAUAUAUGCAUUAGUAUCCAAAGCAAAGGGAAGCUAAUUUCACACAAUAAAUCCGCCAUCACGAAAGUAAGUUCCAUUUAUACAUUUUGUCAUCAAUGAUCAAAUCCCCUCAAGUACAAAAGUAAUCUCAAAAUGGAGGCAAACACAUCAAACCAAAAUAUAAAUGACCUUCGUGAGAAUUCAUGAAAUAACUAAAACCACUGAACCACAAAAAUGGUAACAGCAUUUAUGAAUUUCAUCAAUUAAGGCCAUCUUCAAUUCAUGUGAGGACCGUAAAUCUUCCUUAUUUCAUAAUAUUUUUAUUUUAUUUUCUCGCAUGCAUUUUCUUCAUUAUACCCUAUUAUAUUGAUUUUUUAGAGAUUUUUAUAAGUGAGUAGAGUUUUCAAAUCAUUUUCCUAGUUUAAGUUAGUUCAUAUUAAAUUUGAAGUGUAUUAUGGACGUGGAACCCGCUAGUGUGCUAAGUGCAAUAUAUUUUUGACAACUCAUUGGAGUUUUGUAUUAAGUGAUAUUAUUUUACAAGGUGCUAGGAGACAAUUAGAGGUUAGCUAGAUUAAUUAGUAUGGAGAGACAAGAAGAUAAGCUUAAACAUUAAAGGAGCCAAGUGUCAUGAACCUAUUGGGUGUGGACUUUGACCAAACCUUCUUUACCUUUACUAAACAUCAAAAUUGACCAAAAUUUCCUUCAUUCUUUUGCUUGCUUGGCCGAACCAUAGAGCGGAGAGAAGAGAGAAAAUCCAUCAUCUUGUACAUCAAUUUCUUUCUCCAAUCUUGAUUUCCAACCAUCAAAAUUGUAAAUUACUCCAUAAAAACUUCUUGCUAGGAAGGAUUAAAGGUUUUAGUGGAGUCAAUUUGGGAGGAAAGAUACUAAGUUACCAUCUUUCUAGUGUUCUAAGGCAAGGUUCCAAGAAAACCUCUCUUUAUUUUUUUUAUAAUUGCAUAGUAGUGGUUUAUAGUGUUAAAUAGGUAGUUUUGUGGAAGAUUUCAUGGUUUAAAGUAGUAUUAUGGUAAUUUUUCAAUUUUAUGGGAAUUUUCUGCCCUUAUUUGAUGCUUAAGCAUAUGCCAUGGAUUGAUAGCCUUGUUGUGUGUGAAGUGAAGCUUGUAUAUGCUAGAUGUGAUUUCCUAUGAAAAAUUUCAGUUUGUGUAGUCAAAUUUCAGUUUUAGGGUUUAAUCUGCCCUGUUCUGACCGGAUUUAUUUGAGCAUGUUAGAGGCCAAAUAAGGCUUAGGUUAAAACAUGAAAGUUGUACUAAAUGGUGUUAAAAAUAUUCCUACAAAAUUUCAGCUUAAUCCGAGCACUGUACCAUGUGAAAUGACUGAAAUACCCAUGAACCCUGUUUCGCGCCCAGAUUUUUGUUUUCGUGGAGUUUUCCAUUUUUGACCAUGAAAAUGCAUGAUUUGGCUUUGGAAGUCUUCAUAAGAAAUGUAGGUAUAUGUCUUAUCUUUCUAACGCCACUAGAAUCACCUCGUUUGGACUUCGGUAGUCUGAGUUAUUGUCAUUUACGUAUAAGGCGGUCAACAAGCCCGAAUGUGAGAUGCUGGUUCUGUUAUUUGAGAUUUUGACUUAGAUACACUACAAACUGGACUGAGUGGUCUUCAUCAAAGUUGUAGGCCUUUGUCUUAGCUUCGAAACCAUAUAAAUUUCACCCCAAUCCGAUAAGCGUAGCUUCGAUUGUAUCCGUUACGCAAAACAACGUCAAAUCUGUCUUUUGUUUCUUGACUCAACCUUCAUUUCCGCACAUGCUCCUAGCUUGAUUUUGUACUUGUAUGACUUGGAGCCUAUGGAAUGGCUAUUGAAAUGAGAUGAUUUUGUGUAUGACUUUGGAUUUGAUUGAGGAAAAGAAUAAAGCCAUAAAUGACUGAAAAAUAGGUAAAUACAAAGGGCGUGCUGCCCAAAUUUACGCUCGAGAACUAGGUCGAUAUACUUGCGACUUGAGUAAGGCUUGAGAGAGUAUACCACGCGAACCAUCUAGGGUAUUUACGUUUUCUUUGCCACUUCGACUCAAAUAGCGAUUUUAAAGUUUUAACAAGUGAGUCUAAGUUUUACAAAUAUUUUACUUAUGUCCUUUGGUUUCAAUGUACUCUUUUCACUACCAAAACCAUCUUUAUACUUUGUACUAGUACGUAUUUGACUUGUCUUUGACUCACUUACAUCUUUGAUGGUUGAAGCAUAAUGUGUUCAUUUGAUUAUAUUAGGAUACCUUGGUGCUUGAGGGUGUAUCCGGAAGGAAACUUUGGACGUUAUUUUGCUUAAAUAGGUGAGUUCCCUGUUUGUUAUAUUUUCCUUCACUUUAUGAUUUAUGUUAUUGUUUGAUAAAGUGUUAAGUGCUCUCAAUGAUUUUAAACGAGUUUUCUAGGCGAGUGUGUACUUUAUCGCACUCGACCUAAAUGAAUGUGAAAUUUCAAUGAUUUAAUCAUUGAAACGUUAGUUGUGCAUGAUGUAAGCCUUUUGGCUGAACUGGGCCCUGCCCUUCGUUACCGAUCGUCUCGAGCCAGAAGCGGACUCGGUCGGGGGAUAUGGUGACCCUAGGUGUAAAAGUGGUAUGCUCGAGUAUUACCUUAAAUUCUGUUGGAGUCUGACCAACGUCCAGGAAGGGGGUGAAUGAAAUGAAUGAACGAACGAGGGUUUUACUUGCAAAAAUGCAUUUUCAAAUGAUUGGAGAAAUAAGGGGAAAUGACAGGAGAACGAAUGAACGAACGAAUGAAUGGCUCCCUGUGAGCUCGUAUCCUUUUAAUGAAUGUGUUAUUAUAGCUCUCCAUUGUAAAUAUUUCCUGAGUUAUUGAUGCUCUAUGUUUAAUGUAGUGGAUUGAUUGUUUGAUUAUGUGUUUGGAACCUCACUGAGCUUUUAGCUCAUCCCUUUUUUUUUUGUUUUCCUUAACAGGGGAAGGCGAGCAAGGACGAGAGCUCUGUAUAGACUAGCUUGGUCUAGCUCUUGGUUUCUGUAAUGGUUCUCGCCCUAAUGCUUGGCACGAGCUGGUUGUGUGGCGAAUUGAGAACCUUUGUAUAUUUGAUGGUUGUACUUCCUUUUGAGAUAGCAAUGUAUAUAAGUUUUGUUUAAGUUUUUGAUCGUUGUUAUGUUUAUUCUUAUGGGUUUGUGCUGGUUUUGAUUGAGGAUGGAAGUGAACGACUGAGUCCUGGCGAGAGUUGGGCAGGCGGUUCGCCGAACCCUUUGGUUCGCCUUAGAGGGAGGUGGGGCUGUCACAGUUGGUAUCAGAGCCAGGUUCGCGUGGUCUCUGCGCGGAGUGAGCUUGGAUUAAGUGGUGAAUAAGUAUGAAAGAUUAAGUGCUCGUUCGAGCAUAAGCUCUGAAUUGUGAAUGUUAUAGGCUUUAAAUCUUUUUCGUGGUAUCUGAGGAUCAUAGAUAGGUACGUCAGGUAGGAAUCUCGAUUGUAGAUAGUUUACUCUUGGAACUGGCCAGCUCGAGAUGUGAAUUGUCUUAUUUCAGAUUCUUGUGCCCGAGUACUCCAGAGUUGAGACGGUGUUAAGUAUUUGAGAUUUGCAUUUUGGGACCAUGAAUAGGCUUUGUCUGGCUAGAAUGAGUACAAGAGGUCAAUGGAUAUCUAGUUUGGAUAGUAAGUGACGUGAGAAACCAGACGGGGUAUUUAACUGAGACUGGGACGAUAUCGCCUUUACUUUUGAUUUGCCCUUAUACCGUUAUGACAUGACAUUGGUUUGAGUAUUUGUGCAUAUGAUCAUCUGUCUAAUUUGAUAUGAAUUUAUGUAUUUGAUCGUCUGUCUUCUUGAUAUCUGGUGUGUUAUGUGUGUACAUGUCUAUUUGUGUAUUGGUGUGCUAGAAUUUGAUUACUUUCGUCCAUUUACUGCAUUUAUUCACUAAAUUAUCUUUUUGGGAAAAGAAAAAAAAAGAGGGGGAAAAUAUAUAUGGAGGGAAGACGUAGUCGCGGACGUGAUCGUGGCCGUGGGACUAAGCGAGUCCAAGAGCCAAUAGAAGAAAGGGAAACAACAGCUGAACCAGUACAAGGACCCAGGGUUGAAGCCAGAGACCAAAUGGCAACGGCAAUUCAACAAAUGACAAACAUUUUAGCGAGGUUGGUGGACCAACAAGGUCAAAUGCCCGUGAAUCAACCCCAAAACCCUGAAAUAGGAGAAGAUCGGGCUUUUGAGAGGUUUGAAAAGUUUGCACCUCCAAAAUUCGCUGGAGGGCCUGAUCCGGAUAUCGCUGAACAGUGGUUAGAGGCCAUGGUUAAUAUAUUCACAGCUUUGAACUAAACUGAACAGAGACAAGUGAGCUUUGCAGUGUUUCAGUUUGAAGGGCCGGCUCGCGCAUGGUGGAAUGUGAUUAGAGCAAAGUGGAAAAGAGAACGGACUGUAUGGACGUGGGUGAACUUUGUAAGAGAAUUUAACGAGAAGUACCUCCCACCUUUAGUCCAAGAAAGGAGGGAUGAUGAAUUUAUUGGACUACGCCAGGGGACCUUAAGUGUGGCUGAAUACGAAACGAAAUUCACCAAACUAUCCAAGUUUGCUUCCGAAUUAUUAGCCACGGAACCGAGAAGAGUGAGACGGUUUAUACAGGGAUUGAAUUUGGAAAUUCAAGAAGCUCUAGCGGCGGUUCAAGUGAAUACGUUUACAGAGGCCCUUGAGAAAGCCCAACGAAUCGAGAAUGCAAAGGCACAGGUAAAAGCCUCCCAAACCCGGAAAAGAAGUGCCGCGGCCAGUGUGGUUGAGGAACCGGGUGAAUCGAUAACACCCUCUAAAGUGCAGAAAGUGAAACCGUUCACCCGGCCACCAUGGACAUUAGGGGCAGUAGAUGAAAGGUCUACAAAAGGGAGCCAAAUCGGACCUGAGGAAAUUUCUCAAGAAAGCCAAAAGAUGGCUUCUCACUUGACUUGUGGCUACUGUGGAAAUGCCAAUCACACCAAGACCGAUUGUUGGCGAAAAGGGCGGAAGUGUUUGAUUUGCAGAAAUGGGGAUCAUCAAGUUAGCAACUGUCCGAGUAGACAGUCACGUGAAGGUAGUACUCCGCGACUGGAUGGAGCCAAAUCAAAACAAGCGAACGAAAGAGGGAAACGAACUAGUGUACCGGCAAAAGCCUAUGCGUUGGAUAACCAAACAGUUCCGGACUCGUCUGUAGCAACUGAAGGUAAAAUUUCGAGGACGAAAUUUCUUAAGGGGGAGAGAGUGUGAGGACCGUAAAUCUUCCUUAUUUCAUAAUAUUUUUAUUUUAUUUUCUCGCAUGCAUUUUCUUCAUUAUACCCUAUUAUAUUGAUUUUUCACAGAAUUUUUGAGUUUUCAAAUCAUUUUCCUAGUUUAAGUUAGUUCAUAUUAAAUUUGAAGUGUAUUAUGGAUGUGGGACCCGCUAGUGUGCUAAGUGCAAUAUAUUUUUGACAACUCAUUGGAGUUUUGUAUUAAGUGAUAUUAUUUUACAAGGUGCUAGGAGACAAUUAGAGGUUAGCUAGAUUAAUUAGUAUGGAGAGACAAGAAGAUAAGCUUAAACAUUAAAGGAGCCAAGUGUCAUGAACCUAUUGGGUGUGGACUUUGACCAAACCUUCUUUACCUUUACUAAACAUCAAAAUUGACCAAAAUUUCCUUCAUUCUUUUGCUUGCUUGGCCGAACCAUAGAGCGGAGAGAAGAGAGAAAAUCCAUCAUCUUGUACAUCAAUUUCUUUCUCCAAUCUUGAUUUCCAACCAUCAAAAUUGUAAAUUACUCCAUAAAAACUUCUUGCUAGGAAGGAUUAAAGGUUUUAGUGGAGUCAAUUUGGGAGGAAAGAUACUAAGUUACCAUCUUUCUAGUGUUCUAAGGUAAGGUUCCAAGAAAACCUCACUUUAUUUUUUUUAUAAUUGCAUAGUAGUGGUUUAUAGUGUUAAAUAGGUAGUUUUGUGGAAGAUUUCAUGGUUUAAAGUAGUAUUAUGGUAAUUUUUCAAUUUUAUGGGAAUUUUCUGCCCUUAUUUGAUGCUUAAGCAUAUGCCAUGGAUUGAUAGCCUUGUUGUGUGUGAAGUGAAGCUUGUAUAUGCUAGAUGUGAUUUCCUAUGAAAAAUUUCAGUUUGUGUAGUCAAAUUUCAGUUUUAGGGUUUAAUCUGCCCUGUUCUGACCGGAUUUAUUUGAGCAUGUUAGAGGCCAAAUAAGGCUUAGGUUAAAACAUGAAAGUUGUACUAAAUGGUGUUAACAAGAUUCCUACAAAAUUUCAGCUUAAUCCGAGCACUGUACCAUGUGAAAUGACUGAAAUACCCAUGAACCCUGUUUCGCGCCCAGAUUUUUGUUUUCGUGGAGUUUUCCAUUUUUGACCAUGAAAAUGCAUGAUUUGGCUUUGGAGGUCUUCAUAAGAAAUGUAGGUAUAUGUCUUAUAUUUCCAACUCCCCUAGAAUCACCUCGUUUGGAUUUCGGUAGUCUGAGUUAUUGUCAUUUACGCAUAAGGCGGUCAACAAGCCCGAAUGUGAGAUGCUGGUUCUGUUAUUUGAGAUUUUGACUUAGAUACACUACAAACUGGACUGAGUGGUCUUCAUCAAAGUUGUAGGUCUUUGUCUUAGCUUCGAAACCAUAUAAAUUUCACCCCAAUCCGAUAAGCGUAGCUUCGAUUGUAUCCGUUACGCAAAACAACGUCAAAUCUGUCUUUUGUUUCUUGACUCAACCUUCAUUUCCGCACAUGCUCCUAGCUUGAUUUUGUACUGGUAUGACUUGGAGCCUAUGGAAUGGCUAUUGAAAUGAGAUGAUUUUGUGUAUGACUUUGGAUUUGAUUGAGGAAAAGAAUAAAGCCAUAAAUGACUGAAAAAUAGGUAAAUACAAAGGGCGUGCUGCCCAAAUUUACGCUCGAGAACUAGGUCGAUAUACUUGCGACUUGAGUAAGGCUUGAGAGAGUAUACCACGCGAACCAUCUAGGGUAUUUACGUUUUCUUUGCCACUUCGACUCAAAUAGCGAUUUUAAAGUUUUAACAAGUGAGUCUAAGUUUUACAAAUAUUUUACUUAUGUCCUUUGGUUUCAAUGUACUCUUUUCACUACCAAAACCAUCUUUAUACUUUGUACUAGUACGUAUUUGACUUGUCUUUGACUCACUUACAUCUUUGAUGGUUGAAGCAUAAUGUGUUCAUUUGAUUAUAUUAGGAUACCUUGGUGCUUGAGGGUGUAUCCGGAAGGAAACUUUGGACGUUAUUUUGCUUAAAUAGGUGAGUUCCCUGUUUGUUAUAUUUUCCUUCACUUUAUGAUUUAUGUUAUUGUUUGAUAAAGUGUUAAGUGCUCUCAAUGAUUUUAAACGAGUUUUCUAGGCGAGUGUGUACUUUAUCGCACUCGACCUAAAUGAAUGUGAAAUUUCAAUGAUUUAAUCAUUGAAACGUUAGUUGUGCAUGAUGUAAGCCUUUUGGCUGAACUGGGCCCUGCCCUUCGUUACCGAUCGUCUCGAGCCAGAAGCGGACUCGGUCGGGGGAUAUGGUGACCCUAGGUGUAAAAGUGGUAUGCUCGAGUAUUACCUUAAAUUCUGGUGGAGUCUGACCAACGUCCAGGAAGGGGGUGAAUGAAAUGAAUGAACGAACGAGGGUUUUACUUGCAAAAAUGCAUUUUCAAAUGAUUGGAGAAAUAAGGGGAAAUGACAGGAGAACGAAUGAACGAACGAAUGAAUGGCUCCCUGUGAGCUCGUAUCCUUUUAAUGAAUGUGUUAUUAUAGCUCUCCAUUGUAAAUAUUUCCUGAGUUAUUGAUGCUCUAUGUUUAAUGUAGUGGAUUGAUUGUUUGAUUAUGUGUUUGGAACCUCACUGAGCUUUUAGCUCAUCCCUUUUUUUUUUGUUUUCCUUAACAGGGGAAGGCGAGCAAGGACGAGAGCUCUGUAUAGACUAGCUUGGUCUAGCUCUUGGUUUCUGUAAUGGUUCUCGCCCUAAUGCUUGGCACGAGCUGGUUGUGUGGCGAAUUGAGAACCUUUGUAUAUUUGAUGGUUGUACUUCCUUUUGAGAUAGCAAUGUAUAUAAGUUUUGUUUAAGUUUUGGAUCGUUGUUAUGUUUAUUCUUAUGGGUUUGUGCUGGUUUUGAUUGAGGAUGGAAGUGAACGACUGAGUCCUGGCGAGAGUUGGGCAGGCGGUUCGCCGAACCCUUUGGUUCGCCUUAGAGGGAGGUGGGGCUGUCACAGUUGGUAUCAGAGCCAGGUUCGCGUGGUCUCUGCGCGGAGUGAGCCUGGAUUAAGUGGUGAAUAAGUAUGAAAGAUUAAGUGCUCGUUCGAGCAUAAGCUCUGAAUUGUGAAUGUUAUAGGCUUUAAAUCUUUUUCGUGGUAUCUGAGGAUCAUAGAUAGGUACGUCAGGUAGGAAUCUCGAUUGUAGAUAGUUUACUCUUGGAACUGGCCAGCUCGAGAUGUGAAUUGUCUUAUUUCAGAUUCUUGUGCCCGAGUACUCCAGAGUUGAGACGGUGUUAAGUAUUUGAGAUUUUCAUUUUGGGACCAUGAAUAGGCUUUGUCUGGCUAGAAUGAGUACAAGAGGUCAAUGGAUAUCUAGUUUGGAUAGUAAGUGACGUGAGAGACCAGACGGGGUAUUUAACUGAGACUGGGACGAUAUCGCCUUUACUUUUGAUUUGCCCUUAUACCGUUAUGACAUGACGUUGGUUUGAGUAUUUGUGCAUAUGAUCAUCUGUCUAAUUUGAUAUGAAUUUAUGUAUUUGAUCGUCUGUCUUCUUGAUAUCUGGUGUGUUAUGUGUGUACAUGUCUAUUUGUGUAUUGGUGUGCUAGAAUUUGAUUACUUUCGUCCAUUUACUGCAUUUAUUCACUAAAUUAUCUUUUUGGGAAAAGAAAAAAAAAGAGGGGGAAAAUAUAUAUGGAGGGAAGACGUAGUCGCGGACGUGAUCGUGGCCGUGGGACUAAGCGAGUCCAAGAGCCAAUAGAAGAAAGGGAAACAACAGCUGAACCAGUACAAGGACCCAGGGUUGAAGCCAGAGACCAAAUGGCAACGGCAAUUCAACAAAUGACAAACAUUUUAGCGAGGUUGGUGGACCAACAAGGUCAAAUGCCCGUGAAUCAACCCCAAAACCCUGAAAUAGGAGAAGAUCGGGCUUUUGAGAGGUUUGAAAAGUUUGCACCUCCAAAAUUCGCUGGAGGGCCUGAUCCGGAUAUCGCUGAACAGUGGUUAGAGGCCAUGGUUAAUAUAUUCACAGCUUUGAACUAAACUGAACAGAGACAAGUGAGCUUUGCAGUGUUUCAGUUUGAAGGGCCGGCUCGCGCAUGGUGGAAUGUGAUUAGAGCAAAGUGGAAAAGAGAACGGACUGUAUGGACGUGGGUGAACUUUGUAAGAGAAUUUAACGAGAAGUACCUCCCACCUUUAGUCCAAGAAAGGAGGGAUGAUGAAUUUAUUGGACUACGCCAGGGGACCUUAAGUGUGGCUGAAUACGAAACGAAAUUCACCAAACUAUCCAAGUUUGCUUCCGAAUUAUUAGCCACGGAACCGAGAAGAGUGAGACGGUUUAUACAGGGAUUGAAUUUGGAAAUUCAAGAAGCUCUAGCGGCGGUUCAAGUGAAUACGUUUACAGAGGCCCUUGAGAAAGCCCAACGAAUCGAGAAUGCAAAGGCACAGGUAAAAGCCUCCCAAACCCGGAAAAGAAGUGCCGCGGCCAGUGUGGUUGAGGAACCGGGUGAAUCGAUAACACCCUCUAAAGUGCAGAAAGUGAAACCGUUCACCCGGCCACCAUGGACAUUAGGGGCAGUAGAUGAAAGGUCUACAAAAGGGAGCCAAAUCGGACCUGAGGAAAUUUCUCAAGAAAGCCAAAAGAUGGCUUCUCACUUGACUUGUGGCUACUGUGGAAAUGCCAAUCACACCAAGACCGAUUGUUGGCGAAAAGGGCGGAAGUGUUUGAUUUGCAGAAAUGGGGAUCAUCAAGUUAGCAACUGUCCGAGUAGACAGUCACGUGAAGGUAGUACUCCGCGACUGGAUGGAGCCAAAUCAAAACAAGCGAACGAAAGAGGGAAACGAACUAGUGUACCGGCAAAAGCCUAUGCGUUGGAUAACCAAACAGUUCCGGACUCGUCUGUAGCAACUGAAGGUAAAAUUUCGAGGACGAAAUUUCUUAAGGGGGAGAGAGUGUGAGGACCGUAAAUCUUCCUUAUUUCAUAAUAUUUUUAUUUUAUUUUCUCGCAUGCAUUUUCUUCAUUAUACCCUAUUAUAUUGAUUUUUCACAAAUUUUUGAGUUUUCAAAUCAUUUUCCUAGUUUAAUUUAGUUCAUAUUAAAUUUGAAGUGUAUUAUGGAUGUGGGACCCGCUAGUGUGCUAAGUACAAUAUAUUUUUGACAACUCAUUGGAGUUUUGUAUUAAGUGAUAUUAUUUUACAAGGUGUUAGGAGACAAUUAGAGGUUAGCUAGAUUAAUUAGUAUGGAGAGACAAGAAGAUAAGCUUAAACAUUAAAGGAGCCAAGUGUCAUGAACCUAUUGGGUGUGGACUUUGACCAAACCUUCUUUACCUUUACUAAACAUCAAAAUUGACCAAAAUUUCCUUCAUUCUUUUGCUUGCUUGGCCGAACCAUAGAGCGGAGAGAAGAGAGAAAAUCCAUCAUCUUGUACAUCAAUUUCUUUCUCCAAUCUUGAUUUCCAACCAUCAAAAUUGUAAAUUACUCCAUAAAAACUUCUUGCUAGGAAGGAUUAAAGGUUUUAGUGGAGUCAAUUUGGGAGGAAAGAUACUAAGUUACCAUCUUUCUAGUGUUCUAAGGUAAGGUUCCAAGAAAACCUCACUUUAUUUUUUUUAUAAUUGCAUAGUAGUGGUUUAUAGUGUUAAAUAGGUAGUUUUGUGGAAGAUUUCAUGGUUUAAAGUAGUAUUGUGGUAAUUUUUCAAUUUUAUGGGAAUUUUCUGCCCUUAUUUGAUGCUUAAGCAUAUGCCAUGGAUUGAUAGCCUUGUUGUGUGUGAAGUGAAGCUUGUAUAUGCUAGAUGUGAUUUCCUAUGAAAAAUUUCAGUUUGUGUAGUCAAAUUUCAGUUUUAGGGUUUAAUCUGCCCUGUUCUGACCGGAUUUAUUUGAGCAUGUUAGAGGCCAAAUAAGGCUUAGGUUAAAACAUGAAAGUUGUACUAAAUGGUGUUAACAAGAUUCCUACAAAAUUUCAGCUUAAUCCGAGCACUGUACCAUGUGAAAUGACUGAAAUACCCAUGAACCCUGUUUCGCGCCCAGAUUUUUGUUUUCGUGGAGUUUUCCAUUUUUGACCAUGAAAAUGCAUGAUUUGGCUUUGGAGGUCUUCAUAAGAAAUGUAGGUAUAUGUCUUAUCUUUCUAACUCCACUAGAAUCACCUCGUUUGGACUUCGGUAGUCUGAGUUAUUGUCAUUUACGCAUAAGGCGGUCAACAAGCCCGAAUGUGAGAUGCUGGUUCUGUUAUUUGAGAUUUUGACUUAGAUACGCUACAAACUGGACUGAGUGGUCUUCAUCAAAGUUGUAGGCCUUUGUCUUAGCUUCGAAACCAUAUAAAUUUCACCCCAAUCCGAUAAGCGUAGCUUCGAUUGUAUCCGUUACGCAAAACAACGUCAAAUCUGUCUUUUGUUUCUUGACUCAACCUUCAUUUCCGCACAUGGUCCUAGCUUGAUUUUGUACUUGUAUGACUUGGAGCCUAUGGAAUGGCUAUUCAAAUGAGAUGAUUUUGUGUAUGACUUUGGAUUUGAUUGAGGAAAAGAAUAAAGCCAUAAAUGACUGAAAAAUAGGUAAAUACAAAGGGCGUGCUGCCCAAAUUUACGCUCGAGAACUAGGUCUAUAUACUUGCGACUUGAGUAAGGCUUGAGAGAGUAUACCACGCGAACCAUCUAGGGUAUUUACGUUUUCUUUGCCACUUCGACUCAAAUAGCGAUUUUAAAGUUUUAACAAGUGAGUCUAAGUUUUACAAAUAUUUUACUUAUGUCCUUUGGUUUCAAUGUACUCUUUUCACUACCAAAGCCAUCUUUAUACUUUGUACUAGUACGUAUUUGACUUGUCUUUGACUCACUUACAUCUUUGAUGGUUGAAGCAUAAUGUGUUCAUUUGAUUAUAUUAGGAUACCUUGGUGCUUGAGGGUGUAUCCGGAAGGAAACUUUGGACGUUAUUUUGCUUAAAUAGGUGAGUUCCCUGUUUGUUAUAUUUUCAUUCACUUCAUGAUUUAUGUUAUUGUUUGAUAAAGUGUUAAGUGCUCUCAAUGAUUUUAAACGAGUUUUCUAGGCGAGUGUGUACUUUAUCGCACUCGACCUAAAUGAAUGUGAAAUUUCAAUGAUUUAAUCAUUGAAACGUUAGUUGUGCAUGAUGUAAGCCUUUUGGCUGAACUGGGCCCUGCCCUUCGUUACCGAUCGUCUCGAGCCAGAAGCGGACUCGGUCGGGCGAUAUGGUGACCCUAGGUGUAAAAGUGGUAUGCUCGAGUAUUACCUUAAAUUCUGGUGGAGUCUGACCAACGUCCAGGAAGGGGGUGAAUGAAAUGAAUGAACGAACGAGGGUUUUACUUGCAAAAAUGCAUUUUCAAAUGAUUGGAGAAAUAAGGGGAAAUGACAGGAGAACGAAUGAACGAACGAAUGAAUGGCUCCCUGUGAGCUCGUAUCCUUUUAAUGAAUGUGUUAUUAUAGCUCUCCAUUGUAAAUAUUUCCUGAGUUAUUGAUGCUCUAUGUUUAAUGUAGUGGAUUGAUUGUUUGAUUAUGUGUUUGGAACCUCACUGAGCUUUUAGCUCAUCCCUUUUUUUUUUGUUUUCCUUAACAGGGGAAGGCGAGCAAGGACGAGAGCUCUGUAUAGACUAGCUUGGUCUAGCUCUUGGUUUCUGUAAUGGUUCUCGCCCUAAUGCUUGGCACGAGCUGGUUGUGUGGCGAAUUGAGAACCUUUGUAUAUUUGAUGGUUGUACUUCCUUUUGAGAUAGCAAUGUAUAUAAGUUUUGUUUAAGUUUUUGAUCGUUGUUAUGUUUAUUCUUAUGGGUUUGUGCUGGUUUUGAUUGAGGAUGGAAGUGAACGACUGAGUCCUGGCGAGAGUUGGGCAGGCGGUUCGCCGAACCCUUUGGUUCGCCUUAGAGGGAGGUGGGGCUGUCACAGUUGGUAUCAGAGCCAGGUUCGCGUGGUCUCUGCGCGGAGUGAGCCUGGAUUAAGUGGUGAAUAAGUAUGAAAGAUUAAGUGCUCGUUCGAGCAUAAGCUCUGAAUUGUGAAUGUUAUAGGCUUUAAAUCUUUUUCGUGGUAUCUGAGGAUCAUAGAUAGGUACGUCAGGUAGGAAUCUCGAUUGUAGAUAGUUUACUCUUGGAACUGGCCAGCUCGAGAUGUGAAUUGUCUUAUUUCAGAUUCUUGUGCCCGAGUACUCCAGAGUUGAGACGGUGUUAAGUAUUUGAGAUUUUCAUUUUGGGACCAUGAAUAGGCUUUGUCUGGCUAGAAUGAGUACAAGAGGUCAAUGGAUAUCUAGUUUGGAUAGUAAGUGACGUGAGAGACCAGACGGGGUAUUUAACUGAGACUGGGACGAUAUCGCCUUUACUUUUGAUUUGCCCUUAUACCGUUAUGACAUGACGUUGGUUUGAGUAUUUGUGCAUAUGAUCAUCUGUCUAAUUUGAUAUGAAUUUAUGUAUUUGAUCGUCUGUCUUCUUGAUAUCUGGUGUGUUAUGUGUGUACAUGUCUAUUUGUGUAUUGGUGUGCUAGAAUUUGAUUACUUUCGUCCAUUUACUGCAUUUAUUCACUAAAUUAUCUUUUUGGGAAAAGAAAAAAAAAGAGGGGGAAAAUAUAUAUGGAGGGAAGACGUAGUCGCGGACGUGAUCGUGGCCGUGGGACUAAGCGAGUCCAAGAGCCAAUAGAAGAAAGGGAAACAACAGCUGAACCAGUACAAGGACCCAGGGUUGAAGCCAGAGACCAAAUGGCAAUGACAAUUCAACAAAUGACAAACAUUUUAGCGAGGUUGGUGGACCAACAAGGUCAAAUGCCCGUGAAUCAACCCCAAAACCCUGAAAUAGGAGAAGAUCGGGCUCUUGAGAGGUUUGAAAAGUUUGCACCUCCAAAAUUCGCUGGAGGGCCUGAUCCGGAUAUCGCUGAACAGUGGUUAGAGGCCAUGGUGAAUAUAUUCACAGCUUUGAACUAAACUGAACAGAGACAAGUGAGCUUUGCAGUGUUUCAGUUUGAAGGGCCGGCUCGCGCAUGGUGGAAUGUGAUUAGAGCAAAGUGGAAAAGAGAACGGACUGUAUGGACGUGGGUGAACUUUGUAAGAGAAUUUAACGAGAAGUACCUCCCACCUCUAGUCCAAGAAAGGAGGGAUGAUGAAUUUAUUGGACUACGCCAGGGGACCUUAAGUGUGGCUGAAUACGAAACGAAAUUCACCAAACUAUCCAAGUUUGCUUCCGAAUUAUUAGCCACGGAACCGAGAAGAGUGAGACGGUUUAUACAGGGAUUGAAUUUGGAAAUUCAAGAAGCUCUAGCGGCGGUUCAAGUGAAUACGUUUACAGAGGCCCUUGAGAAAGCCCAACGAAUCGAGAAUGCAAAGGCACAGGUAAAAGCCUCCCAAACCCGGAAAAGAAGUGCCGUGGCCAGUGUGGUUGAGGAACCGGGUGAAUCGAUAACACCCUCUAAAGUGCAGAAAGUGAAACCGUUCACCCGGCCACCAUGGACAUUAGGGGCAGUAGAUGAAAGGUCUACAAAAGGGAGCCAAAUCGGACCUGAGGAAAUUUCUCAAGAAAGCCAAAAGAUGGCUUCUCACUUGACUUGUGGCUACUGUGGAAAUGCCAAUCACACCAAGACCGAUUGUUGGCGAAAAGGGCGGAAGUGUUUGAUUUGCAGAAAUGGGGAUCAUCAAGUUAGCAACUGUACGAGUAGACAGUCACGUGAAGGUAGUACUCCGCGACUGGAUGGAGCCAAAUCAAAACAAGCGAACGAAAGAGGGAAACGAACUAGUGUACCGGCAAAAGCCUAUGCGUUGGAUAACCAAACAGUUCCGGACUCGUCUGAAGCAACUGAAGGUAAAAUUUCGAGGACGAAAUUUCUUAAGGGGGAGAGAGUGUGAGGACCGUAAAUCUUCCUUAUUUCAUAAUAUUUUUAUUUUAUUUUCUCGCAUGCAUUUUCUUCAUUAUACCCUAUUAUAUUGAUUUUCCAGAGAUUUUUGAGUUUUCAAAUCAUUUUCCUAGUUUAAGUUAGUUCAUAUUAAAUUUGAAGUGUAUUAUGGAUGUGGGACCCGCUAGUGUGCUAAGUGCAAUAUAUUUUUGACAACUAAUUGGAGUUUUGUAUUAAGUGAUAUUAUUUUACAAGGUGCUAGGAGACAAUUAGAGGUUAGCUAGAUUAAUUAGUAUGGAGAGACAAGAAGAUAAGCUUAAACAUUAAAGGAGCCAAGUGUCAUGAACCUAUUGGGUGUGGACUUUGACCAAACCUUCUUUACCUUUACUAAACAUCAAAAUUGACCAAAAUUUCCUUCAUUCUUUUGCUUGCUUGGCCGAACCAUAGAGCGGAGAGAAGAGAGAAAAUCCAUCAUCUUGUACAUCAAUUUCUUUCUCCAAUCUUGAUUUCCAACCAUCAAAAUUGUAAAUUACUCCAUAAAAACUUCUUGCUAGGAAGGAUUAAAGGUUUUAGUGGAGUCAAUUUGGGAGGAAAGAUACUAAGUUACCAUCUUUCUAGUGUUCUAAGGUAAGGUUCCAAGAAAACCUCACUUUAUUUUUUUUAUAAUUGCAUAGUAGUGGUUUAUAGUGUUAAAUAGGUAGUUUUGUGGAAGAUUUCAUGGUUUAAAGUAGUAUUAUGGUAAUUUUUCAAUUUUAUGGGAAUUUUCUGCCCUUAUUUGAUGCUUAAGCAUAUGCCAUGGAUUGAUAGCCUUGUUGUGUGUGAAGUGAAGCUUGUAUAUGCUAGAUGUGAUUUCCUAUGAAAAAUUUCAGUUUGUGUAGUCAAAUUUCAGUUUUAGGGUUUAAUCUGCCCUGUUCUGACCGGAUUUAUUUGAGCAUGUUAGAGGCCAAAUAAGGCUUAGGUUAAAACAUGAAAGUUGUACUAAAUGGUGUUAACAAGAUUCCUACAAAAUUUCAGCUUAAUCCGAGCACUGUACCAUGUGAAAUGACUGAAAUACCCAUGAACCCUGUUUCGCGCCCAGAUUUUUGUUUUCGUGGAGUUUUCGAUUUUUGACCAUAAAAAUGCAUGAUUUGGCUUUGGAGGUCUUCAUAAGAAAUGUAGGUAUAUGUCUUAUAUUUCCAACUCCCCUAGAAUCACCUCGUUUGGACUUCGGUAGUCUGAGUUAUUGUCAUUUACGCAUAAGGCGGUCAACAAGCCCGAAUGUGAGAUGCUGGUUCUGUUAUUUGAGAUUUUGACUUAGAUACACUAUAAACUGGACUGAGUGGUCUUCAUUAAAGUUGUAGGCCAUUGUCUUAGUUUCGAAACGGUAUAAAUUUCACCCCAAUCCUACAAGCGUAGCUUCGGUUGUGUCCGUUACGCAAAACAACGUCAAAUCUGUCUUUUGUUUCUUGACUCAACCUUCAUUUCCGCACAUGCUCCUAACUUGAUUUUGUACUUGUAUGACAUGGAGCCUAUGGAAUGGCUACUGAAAUGAGAUGAUUUUGUAUAUGACUUUGGGUUUGAUUGAGGAAAAGAAUGAAGCCAUAAAUGGCUGGAAAAUAGGUAAAUACAAAGGGCGUGCUGCCCAAAUUUACGCUCGAGAACUAGGUCGAUAUACUUGCGACUUGAGUAAGGCUUGAGAGAGUAUACCACGCGAACCAUCUAGGGUAUUUACGUUUUCUUUGCCACUUCGACUCAAAUAGCGAUUUUAAAGUUUUAACAAGUGAGUCUAAGUUUUACAAAUAUUUUACUUAUGUCCUUUGGUUUCAAUGUACUCUUUUCACUACCAAAACCAUCUUUAUACUUUGUACUAGUACGUAUUUGACUUGUCUUUGACUCACUUACAUCUUUAAUGGUUGAAGCCUAAUGUGUUCAUUUGAUUAUAUUAAGAUACCUUGGUGCUUGAGGGUGUAUCCGGAAGGAAACUUUGGAUGUUAUUUUGCUUAAAUAGGUGAGUGUUCCCUGUUUGUUAUAUUUUCCUUGAUUUCAUGAUUUGUGUUAUUGUUUGAUAAAGUGUUAAGUGCUCUCAAUGAUUUUAAACAAGUUUUCUAGGCGAGUGUGUACUUUAUCGCACUCGACCUAAAUGAAUGUGAAAUUUCAAUGAUUUAAUCAUUGAAACGUUAGUUGUGUAUGAUGUAAGCCUUUUGGCUGAACUGGGCCCUGCCCUUCGUUACCGAUCGUCUCGAGCCAGAAGCGGACUCGGUCGGGCGAUAUGGUGACCCUGGGUGUAAAAGUGGUAUACUCGAGUAUUACCUUGAAUUCUGGUGGAGCCUGGCCAACGUCCAGGAAGGGGGUGAAUGAAAUGAAUGAACGAACGAGGGUUUUACUUACAAAAAUGCAUUUUCAAAUGAUUGGAGGAAUAAGGGGAAAUGACAGGAGAACGAAUGGCUCCCUGUGAGCCCGUAUCCUUUUAAUGAAUGUGUUAUUAUAGCUUUCCAUUGUAAAUAUUUCCUGAGUUAUUGAUGCUCUAUGUUUAAUGUAGUGGAUUGAUUGUUUGAUUAUGUGUUCGGAACCUCACUGAGCUUUAGCUCAUCCCUUUUGUUUUGUUUUCCUUAACAGGGGAAGGCGAGCAAGGACGAGAGCUCUGUAUAGACUGGCUUGGUCUAGCUCUUGGUUUCUGUAAUGAUUCUCGCCCUAGUGCUUGGCACGGGCUGGUUGUUUGGUGAAUUGAGAACCUUUGUAUAUUCGAUGGUUGUACUUCCUUUUGAGAUAGCAAUGUAUAUAAGUUUUGUUUAAGUUUUGGAUCGUUGUUAUGUUUAUUCUUAUGGGUUUGUGCUGGUUUUGAUUGAGGAUGGAAGUGAACGACUGAGUCCCGGCGAGAACUGGGCAGGCGGUCCGCCGAACCCUUUGGUUCGCCUUAGGGGGAGGUGGGGCUGUCACAAUUCACCUCUUCUUUUAGAAUUACCUAAAAAUUCAAGAAAUCAUUCAAUCAAGCACCUUUUCAUUCAUUAGGUAAUCUAAGUUACUCACAUAAAUUUCAAAAACUCCCACUAAGCUAAUUAAAAUGCUACUUUUGGCUACUUAAUAUGUAACUUUGUUACCAAACCAAAUUAAGCAUAAAACUAUCAAGAAUUCACCAAAUAAAUACAAUAAAUGCAAAUCACAAAAUAUAUUUAUCAUUAACAAUCACCAAUAGCAUCAAUAAGCUCAAAUUAAUGCACCUAACUUCACAUAUUAAAAAUUGCCUAAAAAUAGAAAAUAUUUAAUCAUGGCAAAAUGCAAAUAACAAAGUUAGGUGAAGAUUUGUUACCUCAAGGUGGUUUGGUGAUGUUCAGAGAUGAAUAUGAUGUGAAAACCCCCAAGAAACUUACUCCAAUUUGACCUCAAUUGAGUGAUUCAAUAAAGUGCAACCCUAACUAUUGGUAUGCUUGAAACCACUUCAGAGUUGUUUUUGAAAAACUAUGAACUAUGAAAUUCACUCUAGAGGAUGGGAGAAAGUGAUUUGGUGAAGGUUAUUUGAAGAUUAAAUGGUGAAAAGUGGUGUUUUAGUGAGUGAUGUGUGUUUGAGGUUGAAGAUUAUAGCCAGAAUCCGGCCGAUUUUGGCCGGAUAUCCGGCCGGAUUGUCGGCCGGAUUCUGGCCAGUGAGCUGGAAAAAAAAUUCUGAUUGCAGAAGUGGAUCCGAGCUCGGAUCCAUUGAAUCUGCACUUAUUGCAGAAUUUUUGUAAUUUUCAGUUUGACCCCAAUUCUCCAAAAUACACCCUAGAUCAUUUCUAUGUCAAAAUAAAUCGUUCACGCACAUGUAAAAUGAUCUAAACAUGCAUUCUAAACCUCUUUAAUGCAACAAAAACCACAAUUACUGAAUUUGAGAUGUUGAGAUCUUUGAUUAAACUUCGCCUUUUUCACCUCAUUUGGUCACUUUUGCAUCUUUUUCCAAAACCUACAAAUGAAAAAUAACAAAAUAACUUAAACUCAUACUUUAAACAUAAAAUCACUCCAAAGUAACACGAACUUAAACAAACAUUGGGUUGCCUCCCAAUAAGCGCUUCUUUAAAGUCAAUAGCUUGACUAUUUCACCUCAUUUUUUCAAGGAGGCUUUGUUAGCGAAUAAUCCACCAUUUUUGGUCAUGGUGGAUCAUUAAAUGGUGACUUUAAAGCAAAAGUCACAUAAUCUAAUGAUGUGAGAAAUGGAAUUGACUUACCUAUCCCAAGUGUUUCAUAGAUAUUACCUUGAAUAUGCACCACUUGAGAAUUCACCAAAGGAAAUGCCAUGAGAGUAUCCUGGGUAGCAAUACCCUUAGAACCUAUACUUUCAAUGCACUCCUCAAGAGGGGUGAAAAAUGAGUCAUUAAAACUCACCUCUAGAGGCUCAAAGUUAGUUCCAAAGAUAUUGUCAUGUGAAAUGGAUAUUUGCUCAUUAUAACACACUUGGGAUUCAUCAUUUUCAUCAAAAUGUAACCCAUUUUCACAUACAACAUUCCCACCAUUCAUGCUAGGAUCAUUUUGCAAAUUAUUAGAGGAAAUAACUUCACACAAUGCAUUCAGUUGCUCAUGUAUUCUACCAAAGUGAUAAGCUAAUUCAUCUAGUCUUUCCUCAAUCCUAUCAAAAUGGUCGGCAGUUGCAUUUGCUAGCUUUUCUAUUGCUAAAUCAAAUUGAUUAGAAAACUUUUCUUCAGCUAGCUCCCAAGAUGCAUUAGAAUCAUUAGCUAAUAGUUCACUUUCUAAUUCCCAAGGCAGAGGUGCAUUAGCUAACUUCUCUAUUACUAACUCCCAAGAUGGUUUUGAUUCAUAUUGGACACUUUCAGGUUGGUAAUCAUAAAAAUAUGGAUAAUCACUAUAUGUACAUUGAUUAUCCCAACUAUAAGUAGGAGAAUUGCUCCAAUUAGCACUAUAAUGAUCAAAGCAGGGAUUGUAAUGGUCUAAUUCAUCAUAAUAAUCCACAUUUUGUACUUGCAUACAUGUAUUAGUAGCAUGAUAACCUCCACACAAGUCACAAAUCACAUGAUAAGAAUUAAAAACAUUAGCAUUCCUCCUUUGUUUAAUUUCAUGCAUAAUUGUGUCCAUUUGAACUUGUAGCAUCAUAACAUCAAAUUUAGCCUUUAAACACCUUAAACCAUCUUCAAAAGACACACAUUCAGUAAAUUCUUGGUUACCUCUGUUGAAGGAGUUUUGCCUUUGGUAACCAUCCAUUGCCAAACUUCCACUUCUCAAGCAUUGUCCUCUAAAUUGACCUACCAUUCUCAUCACCUAAAAUUGCUUUUUAACAACCUCAGAAGCAAAAUUAGUAAGAAAAAUAGGUAAUGAAACACAUACACACAUAAAACACAAAACUAACAGAAAAUAACAUUCACACUAUAACUAAUGAAAUAUCUAAACUAAUAAAGUUGCUCUUCACACCGAUAUUGCCAAAUCUUCCCCGGCAACGGCGCCAAAAACUUGACGUGCGCAGGGUAUACAUAUAAUAUUAAACUCAUCUAAUCAAGUUUUACAUUUAUAAACUCCUAAAUACCCCACACGCGAUUUAUUGCAAGUAUACGAAUCGUGAGCGAGUAUAGGGUAUUAAGGGUCGAUCCCACAAGGAAGAUUGCAAUUACUGGCACUACUAUAGCUUCUCUAUUAUUUAGAAUAUCAAUGAAUUAUAACAAAUUAAACCUACUGAAAUUAUACAAAAUAACAAAUGAAAGCUCCUUAGGUUGUGGUAUCCCUAACUACUCAUGCAAGUGCUAUAUUUGGAUCAUUGAGUACUACUAUCUAGGCUAGUUAUGGUGUAAUUUCCUUAAACAUGUGAAACCUACUUUCGUAGUGAAUCAACUAUACUUAUAACUAAUCCAUACCUAUUCUCAUGGUUAUAAAAUUAGCUACAAGUUCAUUUCUUCAGUGAAAUUACAUGAAAUCAAUAACUAAAACCACAUAGAUGCACCUCUACUUUUGUGAGUGUACUCCCUAUGUUUAGCACUUCUUGAACUAGUGUUAAAUCUCAAUUUUCAUUGCAGAAAUAACACCUUAGAUAAUCACAAUUAAUGGUACCAAAUUGAUCAUGAUUUAAAGAGCCAAAGUACUAAAUAACUUGCUCAAAUCAUAGCAAUCAAAUAACCAAAUAAUAAACACUAACAAUUAUAGAAAGUUCAACCAAACCCAAGGCAUAAACUUUAAAGUUACAUAUUAAACACAAAAUCCAGAACUUGUAUAUUAACCAAACUUAAGAAUCUGAUACAAAAGAUAAAGAGUUGGAGAAGAGAUAACCCAUGUCACUUGAGUUUCAACUCCUCCAUCUUCAUCUCCAUUUUCAUCCUAAUCUAGCCAAGAUACAAGAAUGGAUGAUCUAUACCACUCUACACUAAGCUAAACUAAAACUAGGAAGAUGAAAGAUCUGCAUUUCUGCACUCCAAGCUUUCUCCCGUAUCUCCUCUCUAUUUUUCUUCUAUGGUUUCCCAUCCCUUCUCUUGCAAUGAAUUUGGCUAUUUAAUGAUGAAAAUUGGUCAAGAAAUGAGGCCUCCACCUUCCUUUUACAGCUGGGAAUGUUUCUCACAUGUCUAGCAACGCAUGUGAGUUGGUGGGACUGAAAUUGAGUUUUCCGCGUACAGAGCAGCCUUUUCUGACCACAAUCCGACCAAAAAUCCGGCCAAAUUCCGGCCGGAUUGCUACAGUGACCAUUUGGUCACUUCUGGUUCAAUUUCCAGUUUUGCUCCGAUUUUGCGUCAACAUCAACUGAACUUUUCUUGAUGAUAAAAGCUGAUUUAGUUCUUGACCAAAACAUAAAACUUGUAGCUCUUUGAGUUAGAUUUCCAAUGCAUUAAGAAUCACCUCAUUUGGAUCUGUGUAGGCUGAGAAUGACCAAAAUACCCUUGACUGCUCACUGCCCUGUUCCAGCUUCGACCAAUACAAAUUUGCUAGUGUUAUUCGGAUUUUUGACCUAGAAAACCUUAAAAUUGGAUUCAGAUGUCUUCACCAAAGUUGUAGAUCUAUCUCUUAUCUUCAAAUGGGUUGAAGAAUCAUCCCAAUCCGAUCAUUGUAGCUCAAGUUAUAGCCGAAAUAUGAAAAUGUAUCAAAACUGUCAAAAUACACAAAAUCCAAGUAAAAAGUGAUAAAAACCUCAUUUAAUCACUUCAAAGUAUUUUUCACCAAUUAUAGCCAAAAUCAUUCAUUUUCUUCCAAUAAUAUACCCAAAGUGACUAAAAAUAAUAUAAAAUAUCAUACAAUUAUUACGUAAAUUAGUCACUUACCAAUAAAAUAAUUACCCGACCCGAUCCUCUUUCCCUUAAACGGGUUGCGAAUUUCUGCAGCCCAUUUUCCCCAUUUCCUCUGCCUGAGACCUUUGUAUUUGGAAGAGGAAGGCCUUGAUUGAGGUUAACUCUAUAGUUUAGCUAAACCAGUCUUUUUCUUGGGGUUGUUUUUCUCCACAUUAUUGCUCUCUUGACAGGAAUUUUUAGCUUCCGAUGCAAUAGCCAUAGUCACAGGCUAACCAGGUUGCCUUUUCAACUCCACAAUAGGGAGAAUAAUCUCCCUAAGAAAUCUCUUAGGCUUCUUUUCAAUCAGCCUUUCAUCAUCUGAUGAAUCAGUAUCAGUAGCAUCCGAAUCAUAACAAAAGACCCGAAUCUUCCUCACGGGUCUGGUGGGUUCAGCCAUGAUUUUUGGCCUUUUUUUAUGGUACUCUUGAUUCAGUAAGACUUAUCUUCGAGGCUCUGGCAUUUUUAUUUUCUUUUUCUUCAAUCACUCAACUCCAAAACCCUGAAUCAAAUACUUAGAAAAUCUCCAAGAAUGUGCUUGUAUCCCUGCAACAGAAUUAAACAAAAAUCAACUACCCAACAUAAUUUAAAUUCUUCCAAAAAAAAUAAAAGAAAAGGGGAUGUAUAUCAGGUAUGAGGCCCUCUAAAGAAUAAAAAAAGUGAUAAAAAUCACUUUAUGUGAAGUCCCCAAAACAUAUUACUCCAGAACAAGUCCUUUUGGGCCUCAAACGUAUUGAAACAGUUGGAAAAAGAAGAGAGAGAGCUCUGCUGGUUUGCAAAGAAGAGGGAUUUCUAAUUGGUGAUAGCUAGUAACAGAACAGCAGAGGAAACCGAAAUCCAGUAGAGCUUCUUCGGCAAAGCCCCAAUAUUCCCAAAACUCAAUUGGAAUCUUGCCAACAUAAAUCUCAGCACCCAACCCUAGGUUUAGAAUUGCGUCCUUCAUCAGUUCAACCUAGCAAUGAAGUGCCCGAAAUACCCCUGCUUAGUUGCUCAAUUAGUAGGUUAAUCGAAUUUACAUGGUGGCGCCGCCACUGCGUUCCUCAAUUGGUACCGCAAAAUAAGUAUAGGUAUCAAAGUAGCCAAAAAAAUUAUACAGGGACUAAAUUGACACUAUAAAAAAGUAUUGGGACGAAAUUGGCCAUUUUCCCUUUUAUUAGGAUACUAGUUUAUCUAUCUUUUACCACCUUUUGAAAUAGGUUGGUUAAUCUUAUUAGGAUGUAGACUUUGCUUAGGAGAAGUAGUUGUGGCAGAGAUAGGGAACGAAGCAAGCAACAAAACAUCAUCGUUGUCAUUCUUUUCUUUCAUGAAAAAGCCAGAUUAUCGCGAGACUCUUUGCUUUUCUCGUAAGAAGAAACGAGAAACAAUUCUUCUUUUUCUUUUCCACUGGACUUCAUCACAUAUUUGAAGAAUGGGCAUGAAAAUUACUUCUACUAAUUCCCGUGUGAUUUCUUCUGUGGAGAUGAACUAAGUUUUUUAUUCUAGUCAAGAAAUAACGGAGGAUUUGGUUUAACUAAAAUUAUGAGAUCAAAUUGAUUACAUUUAUUUCUUGUAUUUAGUGGUAUUGGUAUGUUCCCUGGUUUAAGUUCUUAUGCCUAUUAUGUUAUUUGAAUAUCAAGGGUCUGGUAUUUGAAUUAAUCUAAUAACCUAAAACUAAUUAGCACAAUUAAAUUCAUAAUUGUUUAAUUACUUUAAACUAGUGGUAACUAGCAUGAUUGGAUUUGUGUUAAGGGAACAUAUGGGCUAAUUUAAAAUAAACAAUAACCCUCGUAGUAUGUUAUUUGGUUAGAACAGGGUUUCUCUAAUUAUUAAAGCAAUUAAAAAAUUGAACUUUAAUGUCAUACCUAGGAUUAUUUCUUAAUUAGGACAGUGGUUAACGGUCGUACCAUAAUCACCAAUACAGUAAGGAGAAAUUGAUUGUCAUCGCUUGUUUGGCAAUUAUAACUUGUUUAUCAGUGAGUAAAUGAAAUUAUUAUUGGAUUAGUGAUUAAUAGAGUGAACCAUUUUUGAAGUUAUUUCUUGGCUAGAGUUUGUUUAUUAUUGAUUCAAUUUCAAUUAAUUAUAAUUUAGUCCUUUUUAUUUAAGUUGUUUAAUUAUUCCCAAUUCUAUAAAAAUUUCCCGUACUCUGGGCUCUAGAAGAAACGAAUUUUUUCCAGUUCCUGUGGAUUCGACCCUGCUCACGGCUAUAUACAAAAUUUAUAUUUUACUCAAGUAAAUAUUUAUUAUUGCACAGAUUCGACACCUGUCAUUGACUAAGCUCCAUUUCCACAAAUCCUGUCUCAUGUCCUUGAUCACUUUUAAUAUGUAAAACCAUAUGCAUGAUCCUAAUUCAAAAUAGUAAGGUACAGCAUAGAACAACUCAAUGGAAAGCUUAUGAUUUACCCAUUUAAACACUAGGAAAUUUUGCAAAAAAUUGAAAUUCAAAAAAAAUGCAAAACUUUGAACUAUGUUACUAACUUUACCAAAAUUUUUUGGUGCAAGUUAUGCCUAAAAAAUUCAGUGUCAUUUAAUUAAUUCAUAUGUGUAAUUUUUGGUUAUCAGAUGCGUGUGAACAUGUUAUUAUCUAAAUCCAUUAACUUUAAGUGCUGAAUUGAAUUAUCAAAUAAAACCUAAUAUUUAACAAUUCAACAACUUAACUUAAUGGAAUUCAAACUUCAGACUUCAAUUUUCAAAUUUUAAUUUUAUCAAACGCACCCUUCUUUUACCCAAAUUCUACCAAACAGAAUUUUUUCUACAUAUUAACAGCCUCACAAUUCACAAAGUCAUUUUAACAAUUGAAUCUAUUAAAUAAUGUCAAUCGGUUUGGAUUGUUGUGUGAUAUCAAAGGUGAAAAAAAUCACAUGUGUGCAAAAAAAAGAGGUGCAGAUUUUUCUUUUGGAAAAACGGAGAAUUGUAGUCUUAGUCUCGAAUUUUUAACAUAUGUGCUAAAUUAGUCUCUAAUGUUCUGACCAAAAUAAAUUUGGUUCUCAAAGUUUUUGGUAGUAGGUACACGCAACAAUGACGAAAACUCAACAAUGACUAACGGUCAAAAUUUGAUUGUUGUUAUUUAACAAUUUUGAUUUUGUACUUUCAGACCAUAAUGUUUGAAAUUUUAAUCAUUUGAGUUGCUUAAGUUUUCCAUAGUGGUAUUGAGGGUAUUAGAAAUAAGAUGCGAUUUACAACACAAUUGUCUUAAAUGGGUACUAGCAAUUCUAAUUAAACUUUUUAUUUUUUACUUCAUUUAUUCAUUGACGUGCGCGAGGUAUACAUAUAUAAUUAGCUCAUCCACAAUUAAGUUUUUCAUUUAUAAAUCCUAAAUGCCCCACACGCGAUUUAUCGCAAGUAUACGAAUCGUGAGCGAGUAUAGGGUAUUAAGGGUUGAUUCCACAGAGAAUAUUGCAAUUACCGGUGUUUCUCGAACUCCUUUAUUAUCUAGACUACCAUAAAUAAAAAAUUAAUGAAAAUAACACUAGAAAGCUCCUAGAGAUAUAGAAUUCCUUACUACUCUUGCAAGUGAAUACUAUUAUCUUGGUUAGUUAUGGCGUAAUUUCCUAAUGUAUGUGAAAUCUACUCUCGUGAGUGAAUCAACUAUACUUGUAACUAAAUCAUACCUACUCUCGUGGUUAUGAAUUUAUUACAAACUCAUUUCUUCAAUGAAACUACAUGAAACAAGUCACUAAAGCCACAUAGGUGCACCUCUACUCUCGUGAGUGUACUCCGUAGGUUUAUCACUUCUUUGAACUAGUGUUAAAUUCCAAUUCUCAUUGCAAAUUUAAUACCUUUAGAUAAUCACAUCUAAUGGCCGGUUAAUCACGAUUAGAAAAGCAAAAGUGACGAAUAACUUACUCAAAAUAAUAUCACCAAAUAACUAAGUAAACAUCAUAAACAAGAUAUAGAAAGUUCAUCCAUACUCUAGGCAUGAACUUUAGAAAAACAUGAAGAAAAACAAAGCCAAACUUGUAUUAUAGCUAAACAUGAAAUCAAAUACAAAAGAGAAAGUUAUAGGAGAGAUGUCACCCUUGUCACAUGAGCUAUAACUCUCCAUCUUUGCUCCUCCAAUCUUCAUCCAAAUCUAGAUACAAAUACAAGAAGGAUAAACUAUUCUACCUAUACUAUACUAAUGAACUAAGCAAAACUAGUGAAAGCUAUAUUUCUGGUAAGUUUCUCUAGCCUUCCAAAGUUUUUUUGAAUCUUGCAAGUCCAUGGCUAUAUAUAGAUGAAUGCAGUCAGCAAAUGAGGCUUGAAACAUCCCUUUUACAGCUGCUAAUUGGUUGUCAUACGUUCAUCCAUAGCUGUGAAUUAUUAAAGGAGAAAACAGGUUGUACCAGUGGAGAGCAGCUAUUUCUGACCAGAAUCUGGCUACUUCAACUGCUAUUUUCUCUAUGAUGGUGGCUGAAUUGGCUCUUGUCCAAAACAUAGAAGUUGUAGUACAUUGCAAUAGCUAUCCAAUGCUUCAAGAAUCAUCCAAAUUGGAGUUUAGUAGAUUGAGAUAUGACCAAAAUACCAAAACCUAGUCAGAGCUCUGUUUUCAACUUUGGACAGCAGUGUUGAACUUUGAUAUUUCGACCUUUUGACUGAGAAAACGGCCAAACUGGACUCUGACGUCUUCAUACCAAAUUUAGAUACAUCUCUUAACUUCAAAAUGGUUUAAGAAUCAUCCCAAUCCAAUGUUUGUAACUCAAGAUAUAGCCGAAAUACCAACAGCUGCCAAGGCUGACUUUUUGUUGCUUUUUUUUUUACCUUAAUUGCAUUUAUUCUUUUACACUUCAUAUUCUAUUUUUAUCACUUUAAUCUAUCAUUACACUCCAUUUGAUGAUUGAAUCAUUAAACCUACAAAAUAUGAAGUUUUUACCGUAAAAAUCCAUAAAAAUGUAAUUUUUGCCACUUAAACCAUAAAAUGCAUAUUUUCACUAGAAACUUAGUUUAUUAGCUAUAAAAUUAAAUAAACCACACCAAAACUAAUUAUUAAAGCACAUUAAAAAUAUGUAAAAUAUAUUAUUAUCGAAUAUCCCUGCACUUGAACCAUUGCUUGUCCUCAAGCAAUUAGAAAUACAAACCAACAAUGAUCCAACAUUUUGAAAAUAAACAUAUGUGCACCAUUCAACUUCAUUUUCUCUAAACAAGGUAAAUAACUAUUAUGCAAUCUUUCAUUAAUCCUCAAGUACUCAUAUUUUUUUUUUUAAUCCGGCUAACCUCGAACACGAGGGGGGACGCCACUCCCAAAUUUAUUCAAAAAUAGACACAAGAGAUGUUCUGUUUUGAGAUGUUCGCCAGAAGGGCUAAGACAACCGUACAUAAGGCAUUCGCAUCUUAUCUAGGCGGGCUAGCCCCUGUAUGUAGUCCGGGAGGGUGGAGGCCCCAAAGCUGUGAUCGACACCCGUGGAACUUGCUAGAUUUGCCAGGGCGUCAGCCACCCCGUUUGCCUCCCGAUAGACAUGAGAGAAGGUAACCUGGCGGCCCAGCGCUAAGGCUUGGAUGCGUGAGAUAGUCUUCCAUAGCUUCCAAGGUACUCGUCCAUUGUCAUUCACCAUAGCCAUCAGAACCUGAGAGUCCAUUUCAACUUGCAGAGAGUGGUAACCUGUGGAGAGCAACAUACCCUCCAGUAAUGCCGAGGCCUCCGCUUCCAUGUUUGUCCUUGAGCCCAAAAAAUAGGAGAAACCACGGAGGACAUUACCCCCCGAGUCACGAAACACACCUCCCACACCAGAUGAGCCUGGAUUCCCUAGAGAUGAGCCAUCAACAUUCAAUUUUACAAACCCCUCAGGUGGUGAUUCCCAAAGGACCCAGCGUGGGGCCAUCCGCUUCGGUGACGUCAGUCGGAGAAACAAGCCCGAGCGGACCAGCUCCCCGUCAUCCUGCGUCACUCGAGCGAAAGGCCGGACCUGGGACAAGUGAUGCAGCAGCGUUUGAAUAUUCCAGCAAACCUGAGUUGGGGUUAAAACAACGCCCUCAAACACCGCCAUGUUCCUAGCUUUCCAAAGGCCCCAACAGAUUAGCGACGGCAAUACCUUGCACAGCUUACCCCGUGCAGAGCCUGGAGGAUGACAUAGCCACCAUUGCUGUAAACGGGAGAUAGUGUCGGCCGUAGGCGACUGAGGAACCCACAUGGCCCUGGCGAAAAAACUCCAAACCUGAGAUGCUAGAACGCAUUCCGAGAAGACGUGAUCUUGAGACUCUCCAUUCAAGCAAAACGAGCACUUUGAGGGGAGUUGGAGGCCAAACCGCUGAAGGGCAUCAGGGAAAGGGAGAUACCGAUUGAGCAGCUUCCACAUAAAGACAGCAAUCUUGCAAGGAGCACUGGCACUCCAUACACACUUCCUAGAUCCAAGGCAAGCUCUUUUGGGCCGCAAAGCGUCCCAAGCUGAAGAAAUGGUGAAAUCGCCAGAAGAUGUGAGGGUCCAAGCUGGUUUAGCUCUGUCGUCUAACUCAAUUAAGCGGGUGGACUGCGUCACCAUAUCAGAAACGGACAGCAUUCGUCGCCAGACUCUGGAUGCUCCACAGACUACCCCAUUGUGCCUAUUUUAAAUAACCUCAAUAUCAAGUAAAGGAGAGCCAAUUAUACCACCAUUAUAACAAAUUCAAAUCGAUUUUUCAUCUUUACCCAAUUUCACAAGCAAGCAGCUCAUAUGGUCAAUAAUAAUGCUUCCUAAACUCAUGAUCAUCUUUUUAUUCUAUUUGAAAAGAUAUUUAUUCAUAUAACAUAUCUAAAUAUUAUUUAAGAUGUGAGACUGCCUUUUGACGCGAGAAUCGACAUUUUUAGAUGAAGAUCACCGGUUACUCAACACUUCACAUAUUCAAGUUGUUUUGCAUACUCUUAAUUCAAGUACCGUUUUAAGCGAAAAUCGACAUUUGUAGAUGAAGACUCCCGGUUACUAAGUACAAGAAUCAUUGGAGUAGAACAAAUCUUAUUUUCUUUUUUCUUCUUUUUUUCAUUUUUUCUCUUUUUUCUUUCCACUUUUUUUUUCUUUUUUUUAACAGCAAAGAUAAUAAUAAUUGUCUCAAAAGAAUAAUCAUGAGAAGAGUAUUGUACUUAUUGACCAUAUUUAUCACUUAAUUUAUAAAAUCAAAUAAGGAGAAGAAAUUUCAUUAAAUAUGCAAAAAAAUAGGCAUAAUUUUCUCCACUUUACAAGAUAUACUUUCCUACAAAUGCACAAAUUAUAAUCACAUAAUAGUUAUUUCCAAAUUAAAUUAGAAAAGAAGUUUCCAAAUCACAUAUAUUUACCUCAAAAAAUAGAAGGAAUUUGAACUACUAAUGGUAUGAAACUGGUUAUCCCUUUGAUAAAAUUAAAAAAAUUUAAAACUUUUUGGGGCAAAUUUGCAAAUUUGGACAAGAUUUUGAAAAAAUUUUGGAUUUAAACACAAGUCCAAUAUUUGUAACCAACAAGUCAAUCACAUACAAUGUAUAUAAUCUCAAUUCUUCCCCCCACACUUAACAUGCGCAUUGUCCUCAAUGUGUAAAAAGGAAAAUCAAGAUAAAGAAAAGUAAUACUCCCAUAUUGUUGCGAUCGAAAUGUCAAAGCAUGAAAUUCACGAACUAUUGUCUACUUAUCUCCAAUACUUCAUGCAUUUCAUUUGAUAACCAUUAGUAAUAUUACCCUAAAGAUGGAAAAUGAGGAACAAAUGGAAAACAACAAAAUAACUAAACACAUAAUUUAAACAUGAAAUUACACCAAAAUAAAAUAGCCAAAACAUUGGAUUACCUCCCAAUAAGCGCUUUUAUGUACAGUCGUUGGCUCGACUUUUUCACCUCAUUUCUCAAGGAGGCUUUGUUAAUGAAUAAUCCACCAAUUUUGGUCGUGGUGGAUCAUUAAAAGGUGGCUUAAUAGCAAAAGCCAUAUGUUCUAAUGAUAUGAGAGAUGGAAGAAGCAUACCUAUCUCAAGUGAGUCAUAGAUAUUACCUUGAAUAUGCACCACUUGAGAAUUCACCAAAGGAGUUGCCAUAAAGGUUUUUUAGGCAAUAAUACUUUUAAAACCUGUACUUUCAAUACACUCCUCAAGAGGGGUGAAAAAUAAGUCAUUAAAACCCAUCUCUUGAGGUUCAAAAUUAGCUCCAAAGGUGCUAUCAUGUGAAAUGGAUAUUUGCUCAUUGAAACUCGAAUUAGAUUCAUCAUUUUGAUCAAAAUAUAAUUCAUUUUCACUUGCAACAUGCUCACCAUUCAUGCUAGGGUCAUUUUGCAUAUCAUUAGAAAAAAUAACUUCACACAAAAUAUGUAAUUGUUCUUGUAUUCUACCAAAGUGAGAAGUUAAUUCAUUUAACACUUCUUCAACCCUAUCAAAAUGGUCGGAGGUUGCAUUUGCUAACUUUUCUAUUGCUAACUCCCAAGAUGGCUUAGAUUCAAAUUGGACACAUUUGGAUGGAUAAUCAUAAAAACAUGGAAAAUCACUAUAAGUACAUUGAUUAUCCAAAUCAUAAGCAUAAGAAUUGUCCCUAUUAGGACCAUAUUGAUCAAGAUAAGGAUUGCAAUGCCCAAAUUCAUUAUAAUAAUCCACAUUUUGUGCUUGCCUAUAUGUAUAAGUAGCAUGAUAACCUCCACACAAGUCACAAAUCAUAUGAUAAGAAUUAAAAGUAUCAACAUUCCUCUUGUGCUCAAGCAUAUUCAUAAUGGUGUCCAUUUGAAUUUUUAACUUUAUAACAUCAAAUUUAGCCUUUAAGCACCUCAAACCAUCUUUAAAUGACAUACCUUCGGUAAUUUCUUGGUUACCUCUAUUCAAGGAGUUUUGAGCGUAGUAACCAUCCAUUGCCGAUCUUCCACUUCUUAUGCAUUGCUCCCCCAUAUAUUCUACUCUCCUUGGUCCCCUAAACAUGUCUUCAAAGUAACUCAAAAACACGUUUAGUCAAGAGGAAUAGGUGACUCUAAACAAAAAAAAAAAAAUAACCAAAGACUCACAAAGACACUAAAACAAUACUUAAGACAUUAGACACAACAAUAACAACAAAAAUAAGUAAAAUAGUCUAAAUUAAUAAAAUUGCUGUUAGCACCAAUAUUGACAAAUCUUCCCCGGCAGCGGCGCCAAAAACUUGACGUGCGCGGGUAUACAUAUAUAAUUAACUCAUCCACAAUCAAGUUUUUCAUUUAUAAAUCCUAAAUACUCCACACAUGAUUUAUCGCAAGUAUACGAAUCGUGAGCGAGUAUAGGGUAUUAAGGGUCGAUCCCACAGAGAAAAUCGCAAUUACCGGUGUUUCUCGAACUCCAUUAUUAUCUAGACUACCAUAAAUAUAAAAUUAAUGAAAAUAACACUAGAAAGCUCCUAAAGAUAUGGAAUUCCUUACUACUCUUGCAAGUAAAGUUACUGGUUAAGUGAAUACUAUUAUCUUGGUUAGUUAUGGUAUAAUUUCCUAAUAUAUGUGAAACCUACUCUCGUGAGUGAAUCAACUAUACUUGUAACUAAAUCAUACCUACUCUCGUGGUUAUGAAUUUAUUACAAGCUCAUUUCUUCUAUGAAAUUACAUGAAACAAGUCACUAAAGCCACAUAGGUACACCUCUACUCUCGUGUGUGUAUUGCCUAGGUUUAUUACUUCUUUGAACUAGUGUUAAAUUUCAAUUUUCAUUGCAAACUUAAUACCUUUAGAUAAUCACAACUAAUGGCCGGUUAAUCAUGAUUAGAAAAGCAAAAGUGAUAAAUAACUUACUCAAAAUAAUAUCAUCAAAUAACUAAGUAAACAUCAUAAACAAGAUAUAGAAAGUUCAUCCAUACUCUAGGCAUGAACUUUAGAAAAACAAGAAGAAAAACAAAGCCAAACUUGUAUUAUAGCUAAACAUGAAAUCAAAUACAAAGGAGAAAGUUAUAGGAGAGAUGUCACCCUUGUCACAUGAGCUAUAACUCUCCAUCUUUGCUCCUCCAAUCUUCAUCCAAAUCUAGAUACAAAUACAAGAAGGAUAAACUACUCUACCUAUACUAUACUAAUGAACUAAGCAAAACUAGUGAAAGCUAUAUUUCUGGUAAGUUUCUCUAGCCUUCCAAAGUUUUUUUGAAUCUUGCAAGUCCAUGGCUAUAUAUAGAUGAAUGCAGUCAGCAAAUGAGGCUUGAAACAUCCCUUUUACAGCUGCUAAUUGGUUGUCAUACGUUCAUCCAUAGCUGUGAAUUAUUAAAGGAGAAAACAGGUUGUACCAGUGGAGAGCAGCUAUUUCUGACCAGAAUCUGGCUACUUCAACUGCUAUUUUCUCUAUGAUGGUGGCUGAAUUGGCUCUUGUCCAAAACAUAGAAGUUGUAGUACAUUGCAAUAGCUAUCCAAUGCUUCAAGAAUCAUCCAAAUUGGAGUUUAGUAGAUUGAGAUAUGACCAAAAUACCAAAACCUAGUCAGAGCUCUGUUUUCAACUUUGGACAGCAGUGUUGAACUUUGAUAUUUCGACCUUUUGACUGAGAAAACGGCCAAACUGGACUCUGACGUCUUCAUACCAAAUUUAGAUACAUCUCUUAACUUCAAAUUGGUUUAAGAAUCAUCUCAAUCCAAUGUUUGUAACUCAAGAUAUAGCCGAAAAACCAACAGCUGCCAAGGCUGACUUUUUGUUGCAUUCUUUUGACCUUAAUUGCAUUUAUUCUUUUACACUUCAUAUUCUAUUUUUAUCACUUUAAUCUAUCAUCAAUCAUCCAAAUAUCUUCUCAAUGCACUCCAUUUGAUGAUUGAAUCAUUAAACCUACAAAAUAUGAAGUUUUUACCGUAAAAAUCCAUAAAAAUGCAAUUUUUACCACUUAAACCAUAAAAUGCAUAUUUUCACUAGAAACUUAGUUUAUUAGCUUUAAAAUUAAAUAAAACACACCAAAAAUAAUUAUUAAAGCACACUAAAAAUAUGUAAAAUAUAUUCUUAUCAUUCAUGCCACUAAUGUCUCGUAUACUUCUUCCCUUUGGUAUAAUUGGUCUCAAAUUCGGUAUUAUAUAUGUAAUUAUUGUUUUAUUCUAUUAGUAAUUCAUUGAUAAUUAGCCCAUAAUGAUUAAAAACACUUGAUAUUAGUAUUUAUGUUUGCUAGUUUUUAUAACAAUUCCUAACUAUAACAAUUUGAGGCCUAUAUGCACAAGCCAUGCAAGAAGUAGCAUAAAUGAUAAUAAAUUUUAUAUUAAUACUAGAAUUUUCCUUUUUUAAAUUUUAUAUAUUAUGUAUAUAUUGUCAUUUGAUUGUAACUUAUUCAAAAAAAAUCUUUACGUUCAACGAUGUUAUUAUGUUGAUAUAAAGUGUUUUUUUUGAAAUUUUAUAGGAAUUUAGGAUGACAUUUGUCAUAUAUUUAAUUCAAUUCACAUCUUUUUUUUUUCAUUUUAAAACCUUUAACUAUAACUAGAAACUUAAGAGACCAUAUUGAUUGAAAUUUCAAACAUUAGGAGCUAAAAAUGUAAAGUUAAAUUCAAAAAACUUAGAGACCAGAUUUGUUUUGGUUGAUACAUUAGAAAACAAUUUGAUAUAUAGGUCAAACAUUGAGAAUCAAAUUUGUGUUUCUCUCUUUGGAAAUUUUUGAGUAGUAGUAAUAGAAAGAUUUAAAAUUCUUAAAGACAGAAUUUUUGGCAAAUUCACAUAUUCCUAAUAUCUAAUAAAAAACAUGUCAUAAUCAAAAUUACCAAAUUAACCUAUCCAACCAAGCAAGCCCCCACUCUAAUUAUCUGAUCCCCAAAUUCCCUUUCUUACUCAUGUUGAGAGGGAAAUGAAUUAGCACAAAAAUAUGAGGCAAUCCUUUUAGGACUACCAAUGGGGUCGAGUCAAUUUAAAUUCGGCACUGAGAAAAAGUCUAAUGAUCUUGACCUUUCAUUGAGUUGGGUUAAAAUUGGAUCUAAAUAUUAGUCCCGAAUUAAAUGUUAGUAGAGUUUGGAUCUUAUUAGGGUCAAACUCGAUAUAUGCUCCACCCUUUGAUAUGCAGCUAUAUAUAUAAUUAUACAUAAUAUAUUCAUAUUUUGAUAUAUAUAUAUCUAAAUAUAUAAUACUAAUGCUUAUGAGUUAUUUGUCAAAAUAUCUUACUAUAAGAUAAACAAAAGGCUAUAGUUACUGUAGCAGUCCCCUUUGCUGACACGUGGCACUUUAUGUGAAUUUUGAGCUUUCUCUUUUGCUUUCUUUAUGGAUUUGGCAUUGCUUUAAAUGUGCUCAAUGACCCAAAUUAGAUUGCAAUUUUCAUUUCUUUAUAAGGUUGAAUUAUUUUUAGUAGACUUUUCAAUCUCUAUAUUUUGAACAUAUAUAAUUCAAUUAGAAUUUAUAUUUAUUUCUAUUUACAUUAACAUUUCAACUUAUAUUUGAUAAAAUAACCUUAAGAUUUAAUUAUUUUUAUUCGAGUUUUCAACCUUAUCAUUUAAAUUUAGAUUUGUCAAAAUAAGUUAUCAUUUAAAGUUAAUGCAAAGCAAAAGAUUAUUUAAAAUUUAUUCUAUCCUAUAAUAAGGAACAAUAUUGUUAUUUCUACUCAAUGCAAUGUACAUUUUUCUGUGUCAAUUUUAUUUUCAUUUGUUCAUGUUCAAAUAUUUAGUAACAUUUGACUUUAUGUUUAUUCAUAUUUUUAUUGUCUGAAUUUUGAACUUUCUCUUUUGCUUUCUCUAUGGACUUGCAUUGCUUUAAAUGUGCUCAAUGAUCCAAAUUCAAUUGUAUUUACCAUUUCUUUAUAAGGUUGAAUUAUUUUGAGUAGGCUUUUCAAUCUCUAUAUUUUAAACAUAUAUAAUUCAACAAGAAUUUAUAUUUAUUACUAUUUACAUUAACAUUUCAACUUAUAUUUCACAAAUUAACUUGAGAUUUAAUUAUUUCUAUUCAAGUUUUCAACCUUAUUAUUUAAAAUUAUAUUUCUCAUAAUAAGUUAUCAUUUAAAGUUAAUGUAAAGCAAAUGAUUAUUUAAAAUUUAUUCUACCCUAUUACAAAGAACAAGAUUAUUAUUUUUGCUUAAUGCAAUGUGCAUUUUCUGUAUCAAUUUUAUUUUCAUUUGUUCAUGUUCAAAUAUUUAGUAACAUUUGACUUUAUGUUUAUUCAUGUUUUUAUUGUCAUUUAAAGUUAUACAAUUGAACUAACAUAUUGCCACUUAAUAUAUUCCAAGGAAAGAGAUUCCUGUGCUUUGUUAAGAAAGCAACUCCAAGAGAAAAAGCAAUCAAAGGAACAACUUUCAAGAUUGUCACAAGUUAUGAAGCUAAACAAGUCCCAGUUGGCCAGGAGACUUAAAUGAACCUUCACAAUGAUUAUGCAUAAAAUUAGUUUCCAACAAUAUAAUGCUUAUGUGCCUCAGAAUUGAACUACUUGUGUUUUAAUUUAAUUAUCUUGUAUCUAUUUAUUGUUUGUGUUAAUGUACUUCGACUUGGUUGCUUUGACUUGCUACCUACAUAUGCUUUAAUUCUGUUAUCUUGUAUUUGUCUAUCCUUUAUGUUAAUGUACUUCAAUUUAAUCUCUUUUGCCUUGAAAAGCAAAUUUACUAAUAAGCUAUAAAUCCAAUUCAUAUAUAGAUGUCCCUCUAUCAAACACAAAAAACUUCUACAAAAAUGCUAGCCAUUAUUAAUCCUAUUGUUUUUCAAUUUCUCUGCGUAUAUUUGCUGAACAACUUAUACAUAUAAUUUUAAAACCAAAAGUAUAUAAGUAUCUUAUUAAUUUGUACACUGAAUUAAAUUUGUUUAAUGAAAAAUGUAGACAAUUAUAAAUCUAGUGAAAUGACAAAAAAAAAUGUAUAUUUGAAAGCUAUCAUUAAAAGAGGAAAAAAAAGCAUUUUAAUGAAAUGUAAUAAAGACAUAUAUAUUUUUCUUAUCAAAUUUGCAUGCUAUACUUGGUGGUAAUUUCAGUUAGCAUUAAUGACUCAUAUUUUAACUAAAUAUUAAUGUAUUAAUGACUCAAAAGAAAAUUGACAAAAAAAAUGACAAAGUUCAUUUGUUCAAAUUUAAAUAUUGAUAAUUCAAUUUCUCUCCAUUUCAGUAAUAUACAUACGUUACGUAUACUUUCACACAUGACACUCUACUGACAAACAUUCCAUCAAAUUUUGCUAACCUUAAAAGCUUCAAGAUGGGCACUGGCUAUGCGUAACACCCUUACUAGUGUGUGUGCAUGUGUAUAUAUAUAUAUAUAUAUAUAUAAGGAAUAUUAAAUAUACAAAAUUAUGUCAAAAGAAUUAGAAGGACAAAUCUUGGUAUGAUCAAAUUGAGGACCUUUGAAGAUGUAUUAACCGUUGAUAAUGUUUUACUACUAUUUUCCAUGUACAUUGAAUUAAUUGGAUAUAUGAUUGUUGAAAAAUUCUUGGUUUUAUAUACUUAUUAAUGAACUGUUACUGGUUCCUAUAUAGUUUUAACGUUGUGGUUCUAAGGAUAUUAAAUUAGUUUAAAACUUAAUAAUUAUAGUGAUUAUAGUAAGGAAAUUAAGGAGUUAUAAGUGAGCUUGAGUUAAAUCAGAAUUAAACUUAUAAUCCGGAUAUUUUGUGAGUCAAGUAUGAGUUUUGAUGGGUUUUUACUGCAAGUGCAAGUUAAAUCCGAAUUUAUACCCGUUUGACUGCAAGUAUACAGGCCAAAAUCGUAAUGUAGGGUAUGUAUCGGGUCGAUCCCACGAGGAGCAACUUAAACAAUUACUAGAUCCCAAUUUACUCUAUUAUUUAGACUCACAAUAUAUUUGAGCAGAAAAUUCAGAGUUAAAUCUAACUACAAUUUUUUUACUAUCUAAAAUCCUUAGCUAGAUAAUUGCAAUAUCACAAUUGGAAAAACAUUCACCAAAUAUUUGAAUCUAGGGAUGUAGAUUCCACUUAUGACAUAAAUGAUCCAAAUGAAUGAACUUAACACUUGUUACUACUCUUAUUUAACCAGGGAUUUAUUUCCAAAAUUGCCAAAACUUCAUUCUCAUGAUAAAAUUGGUCUAAAACAGCUUAGUUUCCCUAAUCUCUUAGUGAAAACUGAAACUGCUCUUGUUCAUGCAUGAAAUGCAGAUUUAAUCCACUUGAGUGUAAUUCUAUUCUCAUGAAUUAACAACUCAAACUCCACUCAUGUUAUUCCAUUGUUUUUACCAUUUCUCAAUGAGUAAUAACAAUUAUAAACCUGUUAUUGGUGAUCAAACAACAACAAGUAAUCAAGCAUACACAAGUAGACAAGUCAAUACAAGAUACAACAAGUGUAAAUCACAUUCAAUUCACAUCACUUGGCCAUAAGUUUCAUCUACUCCUUAGAUAUAGAAAUUUAGCUACUCAUUGAUGAUAUCAUAAUCAAACUCAUAACUUCAUUAAUGGAAAACAUCUCAGUUUACAAGUACAAGAAAGAUAAAGAAAAGUUUAGCCAAGUAAUGGUGAAGCCCUCCAAGAAUCUCCUAUGUCUUGUACUAGAUGAUUACAAGAUGAAGCCUUCAAGUGUUUCUGCAAAAUUUACUAGCUAGAGAGAGUUUUGCUAUCAGAAAAUCUGGCUACGUAUCAUGUUUGACCUCCCCUUGUUUCUCUCCAUAAAACAGCUCAAAAGCUCCUUUUCCACUGGUCAAAUUUCCACCCUUUGAUUCCCAAAUCUGAAGUUUGUUAAGAUAGUUAAUAACCAAUGUUUUUGACUUGAAAAUAAGCUAUAUUGUCUGCCCUUUUGUCUUCUGAAGCAUGUGCACCGAAAUCCCUGGAAACUUAUAGCUGGAAAGUAGUCUGAACACGAGAAAUGGCUGAGCAAAUUGCAGAUUUUCGGCUACAUAACGCGACUACACAAAACGCAGCAUCAACUCGCGUUUUGUCAACUCGCAUUUUCAACUUGGCCUUUCUUCAACUGCAAUUUUCUCUAUGAUGAAGGCCGAACUAGCUUUUGUACAAAACAAAAAAGUUGUAACCCUUUAAGUUAGCUUUUCAAUGCUUCAAGAAUCAUCCAAAUCGAAGUUCUGUAGCCUGAGAUAUGGUCGAAUACUAUCACCUGGUCAAACCCCUGUUUCAAUUUCUGACCACAGAAUGCAGCUUCUGUUUCAAUUUCCGACCACAGAAUUAGAUUUUGAUGUCUUCAUACCAAUUAUAGGUCUCUUUCUUAGCUUUAAAAUGGUAUAAAGAUCACCUCAAUCCGAUAAGUGUAGCUCCAGAUAUAGUCGAAAUACCGAAGAGUGUCAAAACUGUCUUGAAUUGCAUUUCCUCACUUGAACGUUUUUCACUUCAUUUCUCUUUUAACCACUUGAAUUCAUCACCAAUUAAUUGUUUUUCACCUCACUUGACAUUCUUUGGUGAUUGAAUCAUUAAUCCUGCAAAAAAAUGAAGUUUUACCACUAAAAUCAAUACAAAUGCAAUAUUAGCCACUUUUACCAAAAAAUGUAUAUUUUUACCAAAACCUAGUUAUUUUAGUUAUAAAGCUAAAUAAUGAAACCAGAAUUAACUACUAAAAUGCACUAAAAAAUAUGUAAAAUAAACCCUUAUCAAAUACCCCCACACUUGAACCAUUGCUUGUCCUCAAGCAAUUCAGAAUUACAAAUAAACAGUGAUUCAAAGUAUUUGAAAAAUAACUAUAUGUGCUCAAGUCAACUUAAUUUCCUCAAAAUAGGGUAAAUAACCAUUAUGUGAUUUUUCUUUAAUCCUCAAGUACUUAUAAUAUCAAGUAAAAGGGAGCUAAAUAUACCAUAAUUAUGCUAAUUCAACUCAAUUUCUCAUUUGUAUCCAAUUUCACAAGCAAGCAACUCAUAUAAUCAAUAACGAUGCUAACUAAUCUCAUGAUGAAGUUCUUUUUUUUUAUAAAGAGGGAUUCAUUUUCUUUUUCUCUUUUCUUUCUUCUUUAUAUAUAUAUAUAUAUAUAUAUAUAUAUUAGAGCUAAACACUACUUAAGUUGUGAAAAAUGCCUUUUGAUGCGAAGAUCGACAUUUUUAGAUGAAGAUCGCCGGUUACUCAACAUUUCACAUAUUCAAGUUGUUUUUAAUACUCUUAAUUCAAGUACCGUUUUACGCGAAAGUCGACAUUUGUAGAUGAAGACUCCCGGUUACUAAGUACAAGAACCAUUGGAGUAGAAUAACUAUUAUUCUUCUUUUUUUCAUAUAUAUAUAAAUAAUAAAAUUCCCUCUAAAGAAUAAUUAUGAGAAGAGAAUAACACUUAUUGACCAUAUUACUUCCUUAACUUAUAAACUCAAAUAAGAAGAAGAAAUUUCAUCAAAUAUGCAAAAUAUAGGCAUAAAUUUCUCCACUUUACUAAAUAUACUUUCCUACAAAUGUAAAAAUUAUAAUCACAUAAUAGUUAUUUCCAAAUUAAUUGAGAAAAAGAAGUUUCAAAACCACUUAUAUUUAUUUCAAAAGGAUAUUUGACAAAAUUUUAUUUAUUUAUUAUGAUUAUUAUAUAUACAAGUAUAAGGUUUUGGAAAAAUUUUGACAGAAUUUCCCCUUAAAAGUGGACUAAAUUUCCUGCCAGCAAACCCAAGAUAAACAACAUUUAAGCCAACUACUUGUCCAACUUCAAACACAACUGAAAAAUCACAAGUACCACACAAUUUCUCCCCCACACUUAAAAUACACAUUGUCUUCAAUGUGUAAGGGAAAGAAAAGAAAAGAAAAGGAAUAAAAGUAGGAACAAGUUACUCCCCAGUUGAGAUGGAUGCGGUCCAGUUUAUCCUUGAAUCACGAGCCAUCGACCGAUCAACCAUCUACAAGCAACUAGCUACAAGUAACUGCCACAAGUUCCAAUAUUCAAAAUAGACACUUAAGUUAAACAUCCUACAAAUAAAAGAUGAACAAUAAAAAGCAAACAAGGAAGUAACAGAAAAGUCAUCCAAAGAGGCGGCCUCAAUCAUCCUGUUCAUUGUCAUCUUCAUCAUCAUCGAUGGGAGGUGGAUGUAGGCCUAGAUGAUCUUUAAUAUAGUCUAGGCGAGUAUCUAUUCUGGCUAAAUGAUGCUCAAGGUCAUCCAAGCGACCAAAGAGUCACUGCCAAUUGGUUUGUGGCAGAGGAUGAGGGGGUGUCGCAGUAGAAGGUCCAGCUUCCUCUCGACCAUGUCUAGCCUUCUGUCUCUACUCUUGAACAGGUCGAGGAAUCUCUCCCGUGCCAAUACCAAGUCGACGGAGAGUAGUAACCGAUAAUUCAGUUUUCGGUGGAACAUUCUCCCGCCGCAUGCCUUCCAACCGGACUUCAAAAAAUGGAAAGAUCAAAGUCAGUAUACGAGGAAAUGAUAAUUUGAAAGAAGUUGUUUUACGCCUCGCCGUAGACCAAAUGUGGCUAAUGAUGAUAUUCGGCAGGGAAAUUCGAGCAAAAAGAGAAUUCCGAUUAUGGAACAUGUAAUCAAGGAAGUAGAUGUCACUCUUGCGAACCUCUGUGUGCCCCGUCUUUUUGGGAAUAACAUUGUGAGCCAUCAUAUAACUAAGGAGACGAUGGCGAGGUUCGAAAAUAUUUGCCAAUAUCGUCUCCUUCCUCGUAGAGCGAAAAGGUUGGUACUCAAUGCCAAAUCUGGCCAUGGCCAAUGAUGGAUCUCACCUCCUAUUUGGGGGAACAAACUCCUUCUUCAAAUCAACUGGACGUCCGUCAUCUAUACAUCUCAAAAUAGCAGCCAAAUCUUGACGUGACAAGACGAUUCGUCGUCCACGCACCCACGACUCAACCAUUUCAUCACUGUGACGCGCCUUACUUUCAAUGUUGGCGUAAAACUCUCGCACCAAGUUGGAGUAGUAAUGGUCUGGUAGGGUGAGAAUCGGAGCCCACCCAAGCUAAGCAAAAGUUUCCGAGAUGCGAUACACCAUUUCUAUCUCUGGACUAAUGUGUAUCUCGAACAAGAACUCCAAAUUAGCAUGCUCCUCAUGCCACUCUUGAUUCCUGCGAUGAUUGAAUCUAGCACUGUCAAACAUAGAUCUCUCCGCUCCACGAGAGGUGCCCUCACCCGGCUGUUGGAUAACUGGUGGUGGUGAAGGUGACGUCUCCUCCCUCUCAUUACUACUAGAGGAGGAAUAUAUCACUCUGCUUCCCCUUCUCAUAGUACCUAAUAAAAAAAAUGCGAUUAGCCACAUGUACUAGGACACAGUUCAUAAUUUGGAAAUAAAUCUUGAAUUGAUCCAAAUAAUUGUCAAAUUUAUUUCUUAAAGAUAUAAAUCAUCUAAUAAUUUAAUUAUAGGACCAUACAAGAAGAGUCAUAUUUAAUGCCAAAAAUUUACCAAAAUCACCAAUUUAAGCAAGAUAUGUAACAAGUAUGACCCAAUCAGUGAAAAUAGCAUCAAUCAUGAUUAUAGCAAUGUAUAAUUAACAACAAUAAUGUGCAAUUAGCUAUAAUCAUGGUUAGGCCAAAAUUUAACUAAUUAUCCCACAAAAUUAGCCACAUUACUCACUAUACAUAAUGCACAUGCUAAAACAUCAUCCACUAGCCAUUAUUAACCAUAAUCAUUGAUCAUUAAUGGCUAAAAAAAUCUUAAUCCAACUUUCUAAUUUUAGCCUAAAUAUAGCAAUUAAAAAAAAUAAAAAUUAUUAAUCAUCAAAUCACUAUAUUUGAACAUGUAAUCAUGUAUAGAUAACCUUAAUAAGCAUCAAUGAGGUCAAAAACAUCAUCAUUCAUCAUAAAAAAUUCGAGAUUAAAAAAUGCCAGAAAGCUCAGGAAAUUGAAAAAAUGAACUUCUAAAAUACAAAGAUUUGAUGAAGAAACUUACCUCAAUCACGUAAAAAGAUAUUUGGUGAUACUAAAUAUGUGAAAAUCCCUAUGAAACAACCUUCAAAUGACCUCCAAUUGAAGAAAUUAGAGUUUAAGAACCCUAAUCUUCAAUCCCUUAAAAACCUAAUUUUAGGUGUUUUUCUUGGAUUUUAAUCGGUUAUAAAGGUUGUAUGAAGCUCAAUAUGUGUUGGAUUGAUGAUUUCUAGCAAGAUAAUGGAGUAAAAAUGAAGAUUGGUGAAUUGGGGUUGAGAGCAAGUAGAGAAACGCGACUGAAAUUUCCAGAGAAGAAGGAAAAAAUGAACUGAAAUCGCGUUUUUGGAAGCUAUAUUCGGACACAGAAAACGCGAGUAGAAACACGCCUUCAACUCGCGAUUCUGAAGUCGCGUUUUCUCCCAAAAGUUGCAGUAUUGAAAACGCGGUUCUGAGAGGAAACGCGACUCAAAGUCGCGUUUACCAUGGCGCGUUUUUUAUCUUGAGCCAGACGUGAAAACGCGAUUUCCUUCAAAAUGCGUUUUGAAGGCGCGUUUUCUGUUCUGCUAGUGCAGAAUUGAAAAUACGAUUCUGUACAAACACUACUUCUAAGCGCGUUUUCUUGAAAAACGCAUUUUCUGCUGCGAAUUUUAGCAGAAAUUCAUUUUUACAAAAUUUCAAAUGGUACCCCAAUCACUCAAAAUGCAUCAUAGAUCAUUUGUUUGCCAAAUUUAUCAAUGUGUGCACAUGUAAAACAAUGAAAACAUGCAUUUUACCCCUCUUUAACAGAUCACAUACACCUUUAACGCGAAUCAAGGGGUUGAGUUGCUUGAUCAAAGUUCACCUUUUUCACCUCAAAUGGUCAUCUUUGCUUCCAUAUGCCAACCCUAUAACGUAAAAACAACAAAUCAAAUAAAAUACAAGGAUUAAACACAAAAUCACUCCAAUUUAAUAUAUAUAACUUAAACAUUGGGUUGCCUUCCAAUUAGCGCUUUCGUUCAUAGUCGUUGGCUCGACUUACAGGUUCGGAUUAUUUUAGAACAUUAGGGAGCAAUUUUCUUUCACGGGUCGAAACUCCCGAGCCAAUCUACCAUGUGGUGAGUCAUGCAUUGAUCUCCAUAGUCCAAUUUCCUCAAAUGCCAAGGAGGAGUAUUAGACUUGUCAUAUAAAGGUUCGACUUCACCUUGGAGUGAAAUUUGCUUGUCUUUUUCGAGUUGGCUCAACUUUUCUCUACUUUCUUCAUGGAAUCACGAAUUUAUUAAGCCAACUUCCAUCCUUAUCUUCUCCUCCCUUGCUCCUACACCAUGAAAGUCAGUACCAAGGACAUUUAUAUAUGUAACUUCUUCGUUCCUUUCUUGGUUAACCUUGUCAUCACAUGGCAUAUUAGAAACAAGAGCAGUAGGCUCUAUACUCCCUUCUUUAUUACCCAAAUUGAAUUCUAAUUCCUCACCAUUAACCCGUAAUAAAAGCUUACCUUUUUCCACAUCAAUUAUAGUUCAUGCAGUAGCUAAAAACGGUCGUCCUAGAAUAAUUGGUAUUCUCACAUCUUCCGCAAUAUCUAAGACAACAAAAUUCACAGGUAUUAUAGAUUGUCUUAUCUUUAUGAGCACAUUUUCCAGAAUACCCAUUGGAUGUGUGAUUGACCGAUCCGCCAAUUGCAAUGUGAUAUUGGUAGCUUUUAGCUCUUGAAGUCCCCACCUCCGAGCAAUCGAUAGUGGCAAGAGUGACACACUUGCACCUAAAUCACAUAAAGCAUUAGAAAAAUGCAAUUGACCAAUUGUGCGAGGAAUAGAAAAGCUUCCCGGAUCUUUCAAUUUAGGAGGGAGUUUGUUUUUAAUCAGUGCACUACACUCUUCCGUUAAUACUAUCAUCUCAUUAUCUACAAGUUUUCUCUUUCUUGACAUGAUGUCUUUCAAGAAACGUGCAUAAGAGGGAAUCUGUGUUAUGGCAUCAAUGAAAGGAAUGUUUAUGUGUAAUUGUUUAAAUAUUUUGAAGAACUUUUCAAACUCCCGAUCCUGUCCAUAUUUCUUCAACCUUUGAGGAAAAGGAAUCACAUUAGAAUUUAACUGAGAAUUUAAUUUGGGAGGAAGUGCAUCAAUAUCAAUGACAACAUGAUCAUUUCGGCUUUCUUUCUCCCCUUCGAUUGCUUGCUCCUUGUCUUUUUCACCACCUGAAUUUUCAAAAUUAGGUCCCUUAACCGUUUUACCGCUUUUAAGAGCGAUUGCAUUGACAUGCUCUCUCGGAUUCACUUCGAUUUUACUCGGCAAUUCACCAGGGUUUCUGUUGUUGAUCAUAUUGGCAAUUUGACCAACCUGAACCUCCAAGUUUCUGUACAUCCCAGCCAAUUGGUCCAACCGCUCCUCAACUCGCUCGAAUCUAUCCGAAGUCACCUUAGCAAGUUUUUCCACUGCGAUCUCCCAACUUGGUUUAGUUUCAGCUUGUGGUUGCCUCGGUUGAAAUCCGGGCGGAUUAGUUGGCCUUUGUUGUUUGCCUUGAUCUUUCCAUCAAAAUUUUGGAUGAUUUCUCCACCCUGGAUUAUAGGUAUUGGAGUAUGGAUUGUUUUGGGGUGGACGGUUAUAAUUGUUGAGAUAUUGAACCUGUUCGCUGCUAGAACACAUAGAAUCAUCAUGGUCUCCUCCAUAGUUAGUACAACACGCAACAACUACUCCUUGGUUAGAACUAGAACCAACUUGCCCGUUAAACAUUUUAACCACAUUAUCCAUCUUUGCACUUAACAUAUUCAAGGUAUCUACUUCAAGCAUACCUGCGGUUCUCCUUGUAUUACCUCGUUCGUUAGCCCAUUGGUAAUUAUUAGCAGCCAUUUCUUCAAUCAAUUGUUGAGCUUCCUCGGCUGACUUUUCCAUUAACGCUCCUCCCGCUGCCGCAUCUACAUGCGUCUUUGGUGGAUAGGUGAGACCAUUGUAAAAUGUUUGGACUAUUAGCCAAUCAGGGAGACCAUGUUGAGGACAUCUUUGUUGUUAUUCCCGAUAGCACUCCCAAGUUUCGUACAAUGUCUCUCCUUCCUAUUGAGAGAAACUAGUUAUAUCCAUUCUAAGUUUAGCAGUUUUUCUAGGUGGAAAGAAUUUAUUAAGAAAAGCCUUAGCUAAUUCAGCCCAAGUAGUAAAAGUAUUUGGAGGAUGAGAUUGUAACCAAACCUUGCCCUUAUCCCUUAGCGAAAAUGAAAACAAUCGAAGUUUAAUUGCAUCAUCACUAACACCAUUAAACUUAAUUGUAUCACAGAUUUCAAGAAAUGUUGACAAAUGAGAAUUUGGAUCUUCGGUAGCAUUACCUCAACAUUGAGAUUGUUGAACCAUUUGAAUCAGUGAUGGUUCAAUCUCAAAAUUGUUAGCAUUUACCGUUGGUCUUGCGAUGCUAGUUUGAGAUCCUUGUAUCUCCGGUAAAGCAAAAUCUCGUAGAGCUCGUCUCUUUGAUUCGUUUUCCUCCAUUUCUUCCUCAAACGGUAACUCUAUCAAAAUUUCCUCUAUCGCUUGCCAAACCUCUUGUUCCUCUUGAUGCAGUAUAUGCCUCCUUUAUCUCCAUAGUGUCCUCUCAAUUUAUGGAUCUAAAGGUGCAACUUCUCGAGAUGCCUAGUGCAUGCACUACAAACAGAAAUACGAGAGAUUAUGCAGUUUUAAUUGUCAAAAACUGACUAUAAACUGCUCAACUAAUAAAAAUAAAGAUGUCUAAAUUAAUAGAGAUGAUUAGACUCUAAUAUUGCCGCUCCCCGGCACCAGCGCCAGAAACUUGACAGAUUUUUAUUACAAAUGCAAGUUAAAUCAGAAUUUAUACCCAUUUGACUGUAAGUAUAUAGGCCAAAAUCAUAAUGUAGGGUAUGUAUCGGGUCGAUCUCACGAGAAGCAACUUCAACAAUUACUAGAUCCUAAUUUACUCUAUUAUUUAGACUCACAAUAUAUUUGAGCAGAAAAUUCAGAGUUAAAUCUAACUACAAUUUUUUUACUAUCUAAAAUCCUUAGCUAGAUAAUUGCAAUAUCACAAUUGGAGAAACAUUCACCAAAUAUUUGAAUCUAGGGAUGUAGAUUCCACUUAUGACAUAAAUGAUCCAAAUGAAUGAACUUAACACUUGUUACUACUCUUAUUUAACCAGGGAUUUAUUUCCAAAAUUGCCAAAACUUCAUUCUCAUGAUAAAAUUGGUCUAAAACAGCUUAGUUUCCCUAAUCUCUUGGUGAAAACUGAAACUGCUCUUGUUCAUGCAUGAAAUGCAGAUUUAAUCCACUUGAGUGUAAUUCUAUUCUCAUGAAUUAACAACUCAAACUCCACUCAUGUUAUUCCAUUGUUUUUACCAUUUCUCAAUGAGUAAUAACAAUUAUAAACCUGCUAUUGGUGAUCAAACAACAACAAGUAAUCAAGCAUACACAAGUAGACAAGUCAAUACAAGAUACAACAAGUGUAAAUCACAUUCAAUUCAUAUCACUUGGCCAUAAGUUUCAUCUACUCCUUAGAUAUAGAAAUUUAGCUACUCAUUGAUGAUAUCAUAAUCAAACUCAUAACUUCAUUAAUGGAAAACAUCUCAGUUUACAAGUACAAGAAAGAUAAAGAAAAGUUUAGCCAAGUAAUGGUGAAGCCCUCCAAGAAUCUCCUAUGUCUUGUACUAGAUGAUUACAAGAUGAAGCCUCCAAGUGUUUCUGUAAAAUUUACUAGCUAGAGAAAGUUUUUCUAUCAGAAAAUCUGGCUACGUAUCAUGUUUGACCUCCCCUUGUUUCUCUCCAUAAAAACAGCUCAAAAGCUCCUUUUCCACUGGUCAAAUUUCCACCCUUUGAUUCCCAAAUCUGAAGUUUGUUAAGAUAGUCAAUAACCAAUGUUUUUGACUUGAAAAUAAGCCUAUUGUCUGCCCUUUUGUCUACUGAAGCACGUGCACCAAAAUCCCUGGCAACUUAUAGCUGGAAAGUAGUCUGAACACAAGAGAAAUGGCUGAGCAAAUUGCCGAUUUUCGGCUACAAACGUGACUACACAAAACGCGGCAUCAACUCGCGUUUUCAACUUGGCCUUGGUUCAACUACGAUUUUCUCUAUGAUGAAGGGCAAACUAGCUUUUGUACAAAACACAAACGUUGUAGCCCUUUAAGGUAGCUUUUCAAUGCUUCAGGAAUCAUCCAAAUCGAAGUUCUGUAGCCUGAGAUAUGGUCGAAAUACUAUCACCUGGUCAAACCCCUGUUUCAAUUUCCGACCACAGAAUGCAGCUUUUGUAUUUCGACUUUUUGUCCAUGAAAACAGUAGAAUUGGAUUUCGAUGUCUUCAUACCAAUUGUAGGUCUCUUUCUUAGCUUUAAAAUGGUACAAAGAUCACCUCAAUCCGAUAGGUGUAGCUCGAGAUAUAGUUGAAAUACCGAAGAAUGUCAAAACUGUCUUGAAUUGCAUUUCCUCACUUGAACGUUUUUCACUUCAUUUCUCUUUUACCCACUUGAAUUCAUCACCAAUUAACUAUUUUUCACCUCACUUGACAUUAUUUGGUGAUUGAAUCAUUAAUCCUGCAUAAAAAUGAAGUUUUUACCACUAAAAUCAAUGAAAAUGCAAUAUUAGCCACUUUUAUCAAAAAAUGUAUAUUUUUACCAAAAUCUAGUUAUUUUAGUUAUAAAACUAAAUAAUGAAACCAGAAUUAACUACUAAAAUGCACUAAAAAAUACGUAAAAUAAACCCUUAUCGAGUUUCAUAAUUAUCACUUCAAAUCUCAUAAUUCGAAAUCCAAAAGUGGUACUAACUAUAUAAGCCAAAUCUAUGUUUGUUAAACCUCACUUCAGAUGGCCCAAUGAAAAGCCUAAAUCCUUCGCUUUUCUGAUUUAAAUGAAAUCAAAUUUAAACCUAUGGUUUAGUACUCGUAUUCUUUUGUACCCAAACAGCCUUUUGACCUUUCAAAAAAUUACCAAAAAUACUACAAGUUAUCUUCUGCUUGAUUAGAAUUAUGUCAAGUAAUCAAGAGAGUCAAGUCACAUAAUCGAUUUUGUUGUCUAGGUUCUAUUUUUCUGUUUUAGUUUUUUUAUUCUAACUGCAAAAAAAGUUCCUAAUCGCAAUACUACUAUGAUUGAUCAUGGAAGUCUAUUGUUUGGAUUGCAUUUUCUGGAAAGGGUAUGUUGUAACACUUUUUUAGAUGUGAUUUAUAUGAAGUAAAAAGAUCACUGAAAAAUGUAUCAAGGAAAUAUUCCCAAAAAACAUGAGGUUUUUGUCUAGAGAAUGGCAAUCCAAAAAAAGCCAGUAUAUUGGCAUACUAUUGCACAUUGACCUCUUUCUACAAAUAUAUUAUUUUUUAUAACUUAAACUAUCCAAAAAAAAAGAUCUCUAAUCAAAAUAUUGAAUUGUUAUGUUCAAACUUGUUAUAAAACAAGAAAAAAAAAUGAAAAAGUUCAAUCUUUAAAAAUAUUACCUAACAGAACACAAACACGACUUGAAUUAACUUAUUUCAUUUUACAUACACAACAAGGUAUGUAAGAAAAUGUACUGCAAUUACAGGUAACAAAGACACCAAGCUGAUUUCUACACUUUACACCUCUUAGAUGCAAGCAGGUUUCCCAUUGAGAUAGUUCAGAUAUAUGAAAUUGGAUGAAUCAAUCAGAUCAUGUAUAAAAAAAAAAGAAAAAGAAAAAAGAAAAGAUGGUGAAGAAAUAUCAUGCAUGCUGAUUCUGCACAAGUUCAGUAGCAUAAGUAUAUAAAAGCCAUAGGCUAUUAUCUUCAAGAAUUACAUUUCAUUAAACUGCAAUUUCUCUACUAAUAAUCAUAUCAAACAAUUAUGUCAGAAUUGCUCCCAAACUCGAGUAUUCUGCCCCUAGACCAUCUGUUGUGCAAUCAAUUUCUGAUUAUCCUUAUGCUAAUUGUCACUCUUUUAACCAAGAUUUCAUAAACUAACACAACUAUCAAGAUAGAACCUGGUUAGCAAAAAAGUUGUAGAAAGAAGCAUUCAUCUAAGAUCAAAAGUGCUAAAAGUCAAUCAAAUUUUGUAAAAAAUUAAUGAAAAGAAAAAGUAAGUAAUGACAAUAGAUCACCACCAGCAAGAAAACAGUUUCGAUGAGAAAACAGUUUACAUAGCAUAGCCAGCAAGAAAAGAUUAUCUAUAUUUGACACAUAAUUCUCCUGUCUCCAUAGGAGGAUUCAGAAGGAUUCUCAUCUUUAAAAGUCAAUAGUUCGAUUGGUCGCAGAUAUUUCUGUUGUCAUGGAAUUCUUCAGGUUUCAAUCAGCAAUCAGGAUAUAAAAGUCUUCUAUACUUGCAACUGAUGGAAGUAGAAGAAUACAGAUAGUUAUUGAUGCAUAUGAAAAUAACAUGAGAUUUGGAGAAUAUGCAAGGUUGUCCACUGUAGGAGUGAUAUAUCAGAUCUCUAUGUUGGUAGUUUGAAAAGGAGAACUGGUACAAAAUAGUAUCCCCAUGGACGCAACGGUUUCUAAAUUUCUUCCUCCCUACUCCUGUUCUAAUUUUCUGCACCAAUUGUAUCCUAGAGCCCUAUUUAGUGCACAAAUUCAGCAACUCACUAUUCCAACAACACAGAGCAUGCUUCAAGCUUAAGACCCAUGCCCAGAUAACAAAGCUCUUCCCCAACUUUUGAAAUCCAUUAGAAGUACACUAAAAUAGCUUCUGACUUAUACAGUCUGCUGAUCAGUAAAAAUGUCCUGGACUCUUUUAACUAAUAGUCUUAAAAGCUGCAAACUCAUUCAUACAAAAUUUGAACACAAGCUUUUAACACUGAAUGUUAUUUGACAGUGGGGAAGAUAGGUUCAACUCUUACUAUCUCAUUGGUGUAUAUUCAAGGACAGGAAAAGAAAAUAACCACAUGCAAUGGAAGAUGAGAGUAAAAAGUCAGGAAGAAAGCCACAUAUGACACAAAGGUUUAGGACAUCACUUCCAAGACAAAGAUGCAUAACAAAUUCACCAAUGAAUAACUUAAAUAACUCCUUCACGGAUGGCCUAACAAACCUGGGUAUGUGUACAAUAGUACAUGCAAUAUGUACUGGGCUUCAGCACAGCCCUGGGGACUAGAAUAUCUUAUGACAGGAAAUUGAGGUGACGAAUCCCAACAUUUCAAUUAAAAGCCCUUCCAUCAAACUCAAUGAAUAAGCCUAUGGUCUCAAACAACGGCCGAAGUGUCCUUCACUGUCAGUUUACCCAAUACCCAUAACACGUAAAAUACCCAUAAGCUACUAAAGCACCAUAAAUUAAGUAUACUGAAAUAUGUAGAAUUUAAAUUGUUAAUAAAUACUCGAGAUCCUAAAAAGAUUACCCAUUCUUCAAAAUGGGUAAAUUGGAUCUUCAGCCAAGUUCCCAAGAAUAUUAAAAUUUACUCUUCCCUUAAACUCUUCAUUGGUUGCAUCAGUCGUGAAUAUUGAUGGCAUUCAUAAAAAAAAAUGGAACACAUAAUGUAUCAAUAUAUCAACAUCAGUUUGAAGCCCUAAGAAAACAUUCAGCACACACAGCUUUUAUAAAAACUCAAUGAAGUCAAAAGAAUAGAAUCUUGCAAGCACCAGAUGCACACCUCCCCAUUCUCCAAGUUGGUUCAUUAUUUGUCCUCCAUUUGCAACAAGAGAGGUCAAAGAAAUAAGAAUGAUACAAGCUUUGGAGAGGACUUCAAAUAUAACUGAAACUCAUUCAUUUCUUUCACAUAGGGAUAAGCCUCGGCAACGCUUGGCUUCUGGUGUAAAUAUAUCCAAAAACAAUACCAAACAAGUUGUCUGCCACAAGAUUUUAAGCUAACUCUAAAUUUUCCACUUAUUAUUUGGGCCCUAGAAGCGUGCAACAUCUCAUGCCUAUACAAGUCCCUUUAGGUAUGAGUGAAAGACAAUUAUCUAAAGCUACUGCAAUGAAGAAUGCCUUUUUAAUGUUAAGAGCAAACUGAAGCUUAUAUAUCUAUUUCUUGAGAACUCAAAAUAGAUGAUUGGCAAUCAGCUAUAUAUUUCAUGCAUAUAAUAUCUGAGGUCUCAAAUGCCUAACAAAAUUGGA